GUCGGCCAGGUUGAACCCCGCGGCCAGCUUCACGGACUUGUCGAGCUCCUUUAGAAAUUCGUCGCGCCGCGGGCACCGGCUCCCCACGGCGGACCGCACCACGGUGUCGUUGGUCGCCCGGGAGAUCCGCUCGCCGAUCCCCAACACCGCGGAGCCUUGGCCCGAGGCGCUGCACUCGGCGGCGAGGGAGCGGAUUAAGCCCGCGGCCUCGUCCUCGCGGAUGCCGCGGAAGGAGCCGACGCGGCGCGCGCUGAGGAGCUCGAGCACGCACACCUUGCGGAGCUGCCGCCACAGGUCGCCGUAGGGGGAGAAGAGGAUGUCAUUCCCGCCGCGGCUGAACACGGCCAGCGUCGGCGACACGUGGCGGCUCGCGAAGGACGUGUCGUGCGUCUUCAGGACCUCCCUGGCGGCCUCCGGGGAGGACACCACCAGCGUCGGCACGGCGCCGAACCGGAGCAGCAUCAGCGGGCCGUGGGCGCGGGAGAGCUCGCGCAGGGCGCGGUGUGGCAGGUCGCCGUAGCGGGAGAGCAGGACGUGGUGGAGGCUGCCCACCAGCGGCAGCUUCCAUGGCCCCGGAGGCAGACGCUUUACUGGGCGCGGUGAAGACGACGACGUGGAGAUCUUUACGACGAGCUUCACGAGCAAGAAGACGACCAGGCUGAGCAACGGCAGUGUUGCAGCCUCCAUUUCUAUUUUUGCGACGGUACUAGUACUGGGUGUCUGUCUGGUAAAGGCAAUUGUAUUGAACUGAGUGAAGCAUAUGUGGUCUCGACUGUACUGUAUGGAUUAUAUAGGUGUCCGGCUGGAUGGAGCCAUUGGAGCGAGAUCGAUCGCGACAUCUUGAUCUGGUCCUCGCCAUCUCUAUCUUCGCGGCAUCUUAAGCCGGCCAGUUACCGUACUACAGUAAUAUUCUGAGUAUAAAGAAUGCAAAAAAGACCGCUGUCACCGUGUCACGAGGACAUGUGCCUACAUGCGUGGGUAGACUUGCUGCCCAUGGUCACUACAUGUGCAUUGACAAUCUCGGCGCACUGAAAUUUCUUCAAAACACAGACUCCCGAGUCUAGCUUGAAAUUGAUCUCUUCUCUUUUUUUUUCAGGGAACUGAUCUCUUCUUCUUGGACAGUGUUUGGUUGCUAAAAUAUGAUGGAAUGCAAUGAAAUCACUACAAAUUUGAGGAUGAUUCUUGCGUUUGGUUUUGGGAUGGAAUAGGAAGCGAACGUUCGUUCCAUAGCCUUGCGGGGCGACGAGGUAAGUUGCUAUCCGCAUAGCCUAAAGUUACCACCCUCACAGUUUAAAGUGGCCACAUACACAGAUCUAAAGCUGCCACCCACGGAACUAAACGUCCGCUCCAUAGUUUUCUGUUGUGUCAGGGUAAAAUUGACAGCCACGCAGAAUUAAAGUUGCCACCCCAUUGAACUAGAGUUGUCACCACACAAGAUGCGUGGCGUGAUUCCAUCAACAAUCUUUGGAUCAGAUGGCAGCCGAGUGUUCGCUCCGAGAGACUAAAGAGCGAACGUUCACUCGUUAUCCGAAAAAACUAAAAUCUUUUGGGAUGUACACGUACGUACACGCGUAGAGAAACAAUUUUUCUUUUGAGCGAAUAGAGAAGCAUUUUCCCAUUUGCACGUAAAGGAAAAGAAAAAAAAAAGCCGAGAGAGACAUAAAUGAGAAAUUGUACAGCCAGCCCCUGGCCCAUUUCCCAUUAUCGUCCAGUCAUACCUAACUAGGCCUCGGCCCAGCUCAUGCACCCGCUUCGCAUAUAUCAUCCACAGAUCCACUUCGUUCUCGGCUUGGAUCAUCCUGCUCUGACGACGGAAUCCUGCUCCGCCGCCGCCUUUCUUGCUCCCUCCCUCCCCCCAACCCAAUAGAAAGAAGCCUCCUUCUUCUCCGAUCCCCGAUCUCUCUCUCGCUCUCUCAGGCGGGCUGGUUCGAGGAGAUCGACAGCCGGCCGGCGACCAGCGGCCAACGCGCGCGCGGGAUCGGCCAUCGGCAGCGGAGUUUUCCCGUGCUGUCGGCGUCCUCGUGGGGGCGUGGGGCACGUGUGUAUUCGCACGGGGGAGGCGGCCAGCCAAUUCCGGUACGGGCGAGCAAAUUGUGCUACUCCCUCCGUCCCAUAUCAAGCGACAAAAUAUUACAUGAAUCUGAAUCUAGACAUUUUUUUUUUAUAACUACGUUCAUAUUUUGGCAAAUUUGAGACAUUUAAUAUGGGACCGAAGGAGUAGUACUGUAUUUUCUUUAGUCCCACAUGGCUUGAGGAGGUGGAAGACCAUCGGCAUACAGAGGCGAGCCUAGGAUCAGUUGCAAGUCUAGUACUCUCUUCGUCCAAUAAAAGAUGUCUUAAUUUUGACCAAAUUUGAUUGCAUCUAUACAUUAAGUCAUGUCUAGAUACAUCUAAUUUUGACAAAAUUGAAACAUCUUUUGUUGGACGGAAGAAUACUAGAACAAUUAGUAUUAGGCUACAGUUGGCAAAAUCUCCCGUACCCGGUACUUCAUCCACCUCCAACUGAGGACGUGUUUGGUUGCGUCAGGGGAUCGGACUGGAUGCUCCGUAUCAGAUCACCCCGCGUCGGAAUAAUGUUUCCCAUUACGUGCUUUGUUUGGUUAAUGUCCGUACUGCUUUCUAAUUGCACUCCGUUGUUUGGUUUUGGACGGAGUGCUUACACCUGCAUCUGGCCGAAACGACGCCAGGUUGAGACAAUACAGAGCUACACAGGUACUUCUAACAAUUCAAGCAACCACAACGGCCAAACUUACAACAACGACAGCCCAACUGUCAUCCAAGCAGUGCCAAAACAACAUCUUUAGGAGUAUCAAUCUGACAAAACUCAUUUAUCUAGUAUAUCCUUCUAACAAUUCAACAUAUCAAACAAAAGACACAAUUUUUAGGAUCAAAACAACUUCACUCAAACAGCACACUUCCACACUUGACUCAAGUCCAUGACCAAAUUAACCAUCCGCAUUCGUGCCAAGCCACCAAUUGCAAGCAAGCUGAUCAAGGAAGCAAAUGAAGCUAAUGAUGUAGUGUUCUUCAAACUUCUCUUUUACUUCCCUGUAACAUGAAACAGGAACAAAAAACCAUUAGAACUACUAAAUACAGGUACAUUGAUCUAUGGAUGAUAUAUCAUGCGUAUAUGCACAGUUCAUAGAUGGAAAACGAAAUAUAUCAUGCCUAUAUGCACAGUUCAGAUAUGAAAAACGAAAUAUAUCAAUGCAUAUAUGCACAGUUCAGAAAUGGAAAACGAAAUAUAUCAUGCAUAUAUACAGAUACAUUGAUCUAUGGAUGAUAUCUUCCAGUUCCCAAACGAAAUGAGCUGACCGAUUUUCAAGUAUUGUCAUGCACGCAUGGCCAAAUCAAUUAAGCACUAGUUAACUUGUAAAUAAAUUGGAACCCGCUAGUAAAUGACAGAACCAUCGCAGAUUAAUACCUUUGAGCAUCGCUAAAACAAAUUCUCUCCUCAGAUUUUCUGGCAUUGCCAUCAUCAUAUGAAUUUCAUCAGGUUCUUUCACAAAGAUUCUUGAAGAGCAAACCAUUUCAGAACCCGUGAAACCCAGACGUUUUAAUUCUUCAAGUGCCAUCUUGUUGAGCUUCUCCUUGGGGUCUUCAGAACUAGCUUUCUCCUGCAUUUCUAGCUCACGAAUGGCAGCCUGCGCCAUAGUUCCGACAUGGACAGAGACACUCUUCAAUUCACCAUGCACCUCGCCACACAAUGCCAUCAUAGGAUCUUGAUUCACCCUAGUCUGCGCUCUCUCUCUCCUUGCCUUCUUGUAACCUAAUUCAGGUAACCAUGCUUAAAUGCCAUAGAUCAAACAAUUUCAAAUCUAGAACUCAAACAACAAUUUAACAUCAACAAUAAGUAAAUAUCGUAGUUGUGAACUUACCGGAAGUUGCACCUGAUUGGCUGGCCAUGGGCCUUUUUCCUGUUGCCCUAGAUCCUUCAUCAUCUUCAUCAAUCUCAAUAGGGAUUUCCUAUUCCAAGUUAGCUAUUGCCUCAUCAAAGCCUUCCACAUUUUCUCCAGUUGCAAUGUCUUUACUAUAUAUGGCAGAUAGCGUGUCAUAGUAUGGAAAUGAAACACCAUACAAUCCUUUAGCUUCAGUGAAAGUCUGCAAGAUAGUUUAACAUAUCAAUGCAACUUAAAUAACAACAAGCUUUGCAUGUGCGUACAUACAAGCCAGCAAGAAUAUUUUUCUACUUCACUUAAUCACACACAUGGCAAAGAAAUCAUUACUCUCAGCAUCAUUUACCAGCCAGCAAGCAAUAGGGAUUAUUAUUUACCUUACAAUGAUCAUCAUAUUGCUGCUUCUCACAUUGCACCAUCUUCCUCUGAUCAUCCCAGGAAAACCACUCCUUGCCAGCAUUACUUCAAUUGCACCGAACUUGGUCCUAAAGUGCCUCACUCUAGACUCAAUGUGUGGAACUGCUGUUAGGUUAUGACCAGGUAGGCUUUUUGCAAGUUGAGCUUCCAGAACAGACGAGUAGCCAUUUUUGAAACCACCAUCACAUUUCCACUUUGGGUCCAUGGACAGCUCAUACAUUGCCUUAAUAAGCUCAUCAUCUUCAACAAUAGUCCACUUCCUCUUAUUUUUUCCCCUUCCUCUUGCGUUGGUUUCAGUACUAUCCAUAGCUGAAACAAUAUAAAAGUUAGUUAGUUUACCAAAAAAGAUGAAAUAGAAUAAACAAUAAUAACAAUAGAACCCUCCAAAAUACACACCUCAGUGAUUAGCUAGCGGGGCUUCGGGGGAGAAUUCCCGCCUGGGCAAGGGUACUUGCCGGGAGGGGCGUUCCCGGGCACAGGUUUCCGUUGCGAGAGCGGGACCGGGCAAGCAGGACAGCGACGCCACGUGGGCGCGCGGCAGGCACUCUGUGCGCAGGGUUCGUCAGGACAAGGAGUGAGGCGCACGGCGCAAUUAAUGAACCGACAGAAAGGGGAUUCCCCGUCAAGUCAAGCGAACAGUGGCUGUUCAAGAGUAGUUUUUAGCCUUUAGACCCCUAGUUACAGGGCUAGUGUUCUUGCAUGUAUGCCAGCACACCGAGGAGGAGCUGCCCGAGCUCUCUGCUCGCCACUUGUAAACCAUGCACCGUGGCACCUGUGGUAUCCCCUUGGUUAUAAAAGGAGGACCCCCGCCAACGGUCAAAGGGGUUGGGGGGUUUCGUUCGUUUCCUGACCAACUCAUAGCACUACACUAGCAGUAGCCCAAAGUGACAAGGGACACUUAGCCAAAAAGAGAGCACCCGGGGGCUCCCCCCGGCAACUUGUAAGCACUUGUUCCUCUGUCAAUUCAAGCCCAGACAAGCAGGACGUAGGGUUUUACACCUCCGGAUGGCCCGAACCUGGGUAAAAAUGCGCGUUCGUGUUCACCAUGUGUUGACGCGCUUCGCAUUGGCCCCGCCGGCGAUCGCCGGAGCGAUCCCCGUAGCCCACUGCCGAACCAAAAAGAGGGUGCCCGCGCAUCCCCGGUGUCAAAGCCCCGUGCUACGACAUCUGGCGCGCCAGGUAGGGGGGGGGGCGUGAGGAGAGCUCGCAGGUGAUCGCCGGCGGCGACAUCUACGCCAACAUCGGCCUCGUCUUCCUCGACGACAGAGGCAACCACCAUGCCUCCUAAGCGGGCUGGUGACCCCCGAAUCGAUCCGCGUGAAGCCCCAGCGGCACACACGAUGCGCAGCCCGCGUCGCGGGCUCAGGAAAACCCUGAACCCUCAUGAGCGCAGCAGUCGCAGCUGCCACCCCCGCCUCCUCGGCCGUCGGUAGACAACCGGUUGUAAGUAUGUUUGUGUACUGCAAACAAUACAUGCCACUGACAUGUGAAUGUAGUUAACAUGUAUCAUUAUAGGAAAUGGGGAUAGUUAACCUCAACAAGCAACCAUAUCGCAUGCCAGGACGGGAACCGGAGUUUCACAACAUUUACAAGGAUCUUGAAGUAAGCUUCAAUACCUUGUACAAUAUCUCUUAGCAAUUCAUGUUUUGAACACUUUGUGUUAUAUAAUCAUCUCCACAUUGACUUUGUGUUUUCAAAUUUAAUUUGUAGUGCAAUGCAACUCUUAUGAAACCAAACGUCUGUUACAGGCUUACAUCGUGAGUCUUAAGUUCAAAACGGUACCAAAACUGGUCAUAGUACAAAUUUAAAGACAAGACAUGAACGAAGCAUGCCAAAAAAACUACACUAUCUCAAGGUCAUUUGCCAUGAUUCAACGCAGCUUUUGCUCCUGAGCUCUUUUUCCUUCAAUCCGGUUGAAGCAUUCCCCUGCUAAACGUCGUAGUAAAAACACAGAUCAUAAUUCUAAUCUUCAACUAGAGUAGUAUCCACAAAAUAAACAUGACAUUCAAGUAAGUGCUGAACUGAAACUCAAGCAAACAACCUGACAGUCUACCAUGGCAUCCUGGGGCCAGUAGGGUCAACCUUCUCGUGCGCUUCGCCAGAGAGAUAGUCUGCCAUGCCAUGGCAUCCUGACUGAGUUUAACAAUUUAUCCAAUUAUUGUGUAAGAGAUUAUUGAGAAAAUCAUGAGCAUAAGGAAUGGCAAUAAGGAGGAGGUAUGCAGAUAACUAUUACAGAUGCACUGAGGGAUAAUUUACUAUGUACGGAAUGUAUGACAUUUAGUCAAUCACAAGUUUAUAUCCUUCGAAAUACUGGAAAGACGAAAAAGUGCAGCAACCCACAUCUAGUUGUGGUCAGCUUGAAAGUGAAAUAUACUUGACACUAGAGCAUCACAAAAUGUAUGCCAUACAAUACUUAUGUGAUAUAUACUUUACAUUAUGAAGAGAUCACAUGUGCAUUACACUAUAACUAAAUAAUAUAGAAAAAUUUAUCUAGCAACUAUCAUAAUAUGUUAUUGAUCACAGUUGAGGCCUUCUUCCUCACAACAUCCAGAACUUCACCAAUUUUCUCAUCACAAGAAGAGUGAUGCGGAAUGUGCAAGUCAAAAAAUGCCAAAAGGAGACAAUGAUGAGGUAUGCGGAUUCUAGAAAUGAACAACAUGCUUGUAAAUAGGAGACCAUUCUUACCAUCUUUUUCUUCCCUUUCCAUGUUUCUGACUAUGCAGGUCCUUAAAGUACUAAGGGAAAUUUGGUCGAAACAGGACAGCCUAGAAAGACAAUUUGUAGACCAUCGUGAUAUUGUUCAAGCUGAGCUCAAAAAAAUUGGAAUUUCUGAUAACUCAACAGAGUUUGCUACCGAAAAAGAUUAUUUUGAAUUUUGUGAUAACUCAACAGAGUGCAAAGCAGGGUGUGAAGAACCUGACCUGACCCUGGAAGGCAGUGCUCAAUUAGAAGGGUCGGUAUGUAUUAUUUGUCUGCAUCUCUCAACACAAGCCCCCCUAUCUUUUUGUCAACCUUAAGAUGCAUGUAUGUAGCCCCGUGGCUCACGGAUUUUAAUCCAGCAAAUCACAGUGCAAAAUCCACAGCUCUGAAGUGGUUUUGUCUAAGUUUGUCAUGCCAUUGCUGCUGCCAGAUUUCCUCUGGGCGAUCAAACUUUUUUCUUCACAUUGUCAUUUACAGUCGUCCCUUCUUUUUCUUCAGGGCUUCUACCAUUCUUCAUAUAUUGCAAAUCAUCAAGGUCUGUUUAGUAAGCUAGAUGACUUGUGUCAAGCAAACUUUUGUCAAGCAUUUUGGCAAAGUUCAGUGCAGGCAGGGGUCUGGAAGUGCAUGUCGUAGUAUAUAUGGUGGUUUUGUGAAAUGGUGUAUGGGAAAAGUAAGUUCCUGUUUAUGGCAGAGAAAUGGCAUUUGUUAUGCAUGUUUUUUCUAUUAAAUGAUGGUCGAGACUGAAUCCAUGCUUGCAGAAUGAUGGUGGAAGUGACAGUAUUGCAGGACAGCUUGCUGAUGAGGUACAUUGGGAUGAUCUUGUUAUUAUCAUAGCUGUGGUAUGUGAUCGCUGUUAGCAUUGUCAAAUUCAUAUUAUCUAUCAUAAUACCUUGUUCACCGUGUCAUGGUUUUGUUAACACCAAUUGUCAGGGGCCUUCAUAACUCUGCUUUUUACUGGAGUUUUUACUCCAUUUUUUUGUUCCUUUCUUAUUUUUGUUGUUUUGGGGCAUUAGGUCUGUUCAAAGAAAAAGGAAACCAGUAGCACCAGUGGCAGCGAGACAAUGUUGAAACAAGCCCUCUUGCAAUACAAGGCCCAAGUGAUUGUGUUUUCAACUUGAAGUUAAACUUUUGUUUUAACUGUUGACUUAUCUUAGAUUAAUAUCCCCUAGAAUCUUUGAGAAAUGCGCAAAAAAAAGUGAAUCUUUGAGGAAGCGCAAUCAUGCAGCUGCAUUUUGAAAAUCUAAAUUUUAUUUCUCAUCUCCACUUUUUGGGCCACCACCAAGUGUUUUGGCAAUUAUACUGAUCUGUCGCUUUAUCUGUAGCUUCUUAUUCUUCUUUCACUCUGCUUGUUUUUUAUUCCAGACUGUAGUGCCAAGUCGAAUAUUGAAAAUGGAGGAGGCUAUCAAGAAACAUGAUUUUGAAUCCUUUGCCAGAUUAACUUGUACAGAUAGCAACCAGUUUCAUGCUAUAUGAAUGAUACAUCACACAGGUAGUUUUCUUAGCAUCCUGGUUUCGAGGUUCUGUUGCUACUGAAAUCUCAGAAUUAUGAAUUGUUCUCUCAACCAACCGCGGGAUAAUUAGCCUGGUGGAGAAGUGGAACCAUUCGGAGGGAACCCCACAGGUAUAUUGUGUUCUUGCUCAAAAUCUGUGACCUUCUUUUAAAUUAUUCCCGACUGUACCGUUGUUUCCUAGGUCACAGUCAUGUGAUGCUAUCUAAUGAGUACUGCUCUAAAGUACCAUGAUAUUAGAUUGGUAAGCUUAGCUGUGACAUGGCAGUACGAGAUGUUUUUACUGCACUGGCAAUUUAAAGAGUGAACUUGGAGUAUCUGUAGAUCUUUCUGGAACAUCAACUGAUGAAUUUAUGGUUUGUGUUUUCAGAUCCUUUGUUAACUUUGAAAAUUCCAUUGUGAUAUGUGAAUGUAUGAACUACUGCUGGGAUUAUUCUAGCAUUAGAUUUUCCAAAAUUACUCUAUGGAUAUGAUAUUGAUAUCUUUUUACUAAGCAUGUAAAGAUUGAGCAACGAAGGUAGCACGCAAGAAAUAUCUGACUCUACACAGUAUGCUAGUCUUAAUGGUAUUAUUUAUUGUACUGUUUGUGUCAUCUGGUAUGAUUUCAUUUAACUGCAAAACCAGCUGAUGCAGUUGUUCUCAUACUGAAACCAUUUCUGAUUGCAGACCUACCAGACAUGUUUAUGCUCUUAGGCUUAUACUUUGGUAUUUGAACUUUUGCAAUGAGAGGUUGCGUACACUUUUGAUGCUGGGCCUAACGAUGUCCUAAUAGCAUGAAACCGCAAAACUGCCACCCUUCUCCUUCAGAGGCUCUUAUACUGCUUCCCUCCACAAGACAAUGGUAUGGACAGGUAUUUUGAUAUUUUUUAAGAUCUAUAAUCUACUGCCAUUUGUUUGUUCUGACUAAAUACUACAAAUACACAUACAUCAUGAUCAUGGCAGCUAUAUGGUUGACGAUAAAUCGAUCCCAAGUGAUGCUGGAUUGCAAUCCAUAGCCGACGUUGAGGCCCUUCCAACCCCUCCCGAGAUGAAGACACCAAAUCAGAAAUUCAAGGGUGAUGUUAGCUACCUCAUCUGCAGCAAGCCUGGGGCUGGCCCAAAAGUACUCGUUGACGAGAGCCAAGCGCUGAUCGAUUCAGCCACGGGCUUCGCAAAAGGAGUAAAAUUUUGGAUGGUUAUUUUGAUACACCAGGCUACUGUUAUACUGGCUUCUGUGUUCAGAUCAAUGCAGAUUUAUCAUGGUUAAAAAAGGCGCUAAGCGAGUGGUGAGGCAUCACUAAGAGGAAUUGAAGCUUAAGUGUAGCUUAAGUGUCGUUCUGUACGGACUCUGUUUUUGAAAAAUUGGCGGGAUUUUUGGAGAAAAUCAAGCGGAAUUGGAGAAGUUGAGAGAAUGUUGCUCGCCCAGGCAAAAUUGGCGGGAUCCUCGGAGGAAAUCAAGAGGAAUUUGAGAAAUUGGAGCGCUUAAGUAGCCGCUUAGGGUCUGAGCAAGGCGUUAUCCCACCCAUCGGAGCUUUAGCCCGCUUUAGCGAUGCUUUUUUGAACCAUGAGACUUGUAUGUCCUACUCUGUAGGACUAUAUUUGUUCCGUAUAGUUUUCACAUCAUUUUUGUCUCCCAUUGUUGUAGUGCCACCGCUUAAAAUAUACCUCGUUUUCAAUAAAAGUUAGUGGAACAAAUUUGUUGCUCUGUUAAUUUCGUUUUCUGUUUAACAAAGCUUCAUUUACGACAACUCUUGACAAGGCAUUUUGGUUCUCUGCAUUUCCAAUCUGCCCCAUCAACAAAGUAGUCAACCGAUUUGAUUUGCAGGUGAUAGAUGAUCAAAUGUUGUGUGUGUUGAUCAAUGUUGUGCUUGUUGUUGGCAUUAGGGCUGGCAUAUGCUUGUCCUUUAUAUAGUUAUAGUUAUAACAUUAAGAAAAAAUCUGGUCUUCAACAUUAGUGCUUUACGUUUUGCCUUCUCACUAGCUUUUCCAUACAGCUUCCUUCUUGUCAGUUCAUAGUUCAUGGUAGUGUGUAUGAAAGAACUAAAUUUUCCCCUCUAUGUAUAUUGUAGGCUUCUUUUUUUUAGAACUACUGCAUGUAGGGUUUAAGUUUUUUUUAUCUAUAGGCUAUUCACGGCUUCGGAACCUGCCGUGUCUUAAUGAAACUAAAUACGUCAGUCUUGAUGAAAAUGAUGGAGAGCAUUGUCUUAGGCUCUUAGCGGGGCAGUUAAGGUAUUUUAAAGAGCAUGUAGAGUGGAAACAACAUAGUAAUAAUUUCAAAACAGGUGUUAAAGAACAGAUAUAAUAGAGGAAAUUUGUGAGACUUGACCUCCAUUCCACAAACACGAUCUGAGCUUUGAUACUGUUAGAAUUUUUAUAAAAUUCUCACAAGCUUAAUCAUUAAUUACAACGGCUGUUAUAGCCUUACAGGUUAAUGAACAACGUGAUUGUGAUGAUCAUCAAUUAGGUAGCGGACAUGCAGGCGGCGACGUAUGAAACUAAAUCCGUUGCCUGGCGUACGCGCUCGUGGCGAGGGAGAGGCUGUCCUUUGCCGCCGCGAGACUAGCCCUGAGGGCGGCCAGCUCCGCCGUGUUACCGACGGAGCGGUAGGGGAAGGCGGGGGGGUGAGCAGAGCGCGGAUGUGCAGAGCUCCGGGGUGACGUAGAAGCUUCCCAGACUCCCGCACAGCUGCUCCAGCGGCGUCACCGUGGGCACGGCGCCGGUGCUGUGCGGCCCUGGACGACAACGGCCGAGAAUAGCACGAGGAGGAGGAGAGCGGCGGGCACGGGAGAGGAGGUGGACAGCCCGCGCCCCACGGUCAUGGCCGUGACUGUGGUCUCUGUGUUCUCUGUAGCCCCUCAUCUUUUCCUGGUUUUGCGAGGCGAAGGAAGUGUAUAAUGACACCAGACAGACCACGCCCGGCAUCUCUGUUUUUCCGGGGAAACCAGAAGACGACGCCUCAGUGAUCAGCAGAGAAGUCCGUAGGAAAAAUCUCUAAUCUACACGUACAGCUAAACUAGCUCUGAUUAAGAGUUCUUAUACUGCCCCGCGAUUCGACUCGUUUAUGAAUCCAACAGCAUACCAAUUAUAUAUAUAUAUAUAUAUAUAUAUAUAUAUAUAUAUAUAUAUAUAUAUAUAUAUAUAUAUGUAGGUCCUUCCUCCUUAUUACAAAAUCAAACUAAACCGUCUGCAUUAUUCAUCCCUAAACUCACGAGGUGCCUGGCUUACGUUGCUUCCGUACGUGGUUACCUUGGCCAAUUUUGUUGGAAGACCAGAUCUGAUCGGCGCGCGAUAGCUAACGAAGAUGAUGCAUGCUAGCAGCGUUCCCGCGGAAAAACGGAGAUGCAGCAUAUCACGUUCGUCAACUGGCCGGAGCCCCACGGUGAAGGACGUCAACACCGGCGCCGGCGGGCCCUGGGAAUCGCUGCAAGAGGAUCUGAUUCGUCCGGUUUCCUCGCGGUUGCUUGCCGGGGAUUUACUAGACUACGUCCGCUUCCGUGCCGUUUGCAAGUACUGGCGAUCAGCCACGGUCUCUCCGUGUGGCCACGGCGUCAUUGAUCCAUGUUUUCACCCACGCCGCUGGAUGAUGUUCCCCGAGGGCCGCGACCUUUACCCAGGAAACCCUGAGCUGGGAGACUACGUCCGUUUCUUUAACCUAGACUCAGGGACCUUUAUCCGCGUUCACCUCCCGCUAUGCAAAAGUGUUGAGCUUCUAAGGUAACAUACGUUAUGUUUGUUGCGUUUGAAUUUUCUGGCAAAUAUUUUGUUUUAGAUAUUUGAAAAGUUUCAUUUUGGAAAUUGAUUAUAGACGUGAUUUUUUCUCCUAUCUUUUCUGUGGAUGUUGCUGUCAGCAUUUAUUUUUAUUAUCUGUUAGGCCCAUCAUCCAUUAGUAUGACUUUUUUUUUACGUUUGACUCCCAAUCUUUCCAUAUUUUGUCAUGUUGUUUCUGAUGCUUCUGCUAUUUAGCGAGAGAUGUUCACUUUAGGUGACCAGUUUGCGGUGAUAGUCAUGUAUUUUCGUGUGCCUUUGGUGCAUUGGCUUUCGGUUGGCGUUUUCAUUGUGAGUGUGGUGCUAGCUACCGGCUGACGAUGUACAAUUGCUUGUUAGUGGUGUCUUCAAGUUUUGGGUUGUACUUGUAUUGUAAAUAGGAGAUUAUACUAACACCUUCAAAAAUAUUUUGGGGAAAAUAAUUGAAUUCCGGUGGCAUGUGCGGAAGCUGCUUCGGAUUAAAUUCUCGCUGCAUGGGCGAAAGUUGUUGUGAAUUAAAUUUUGUUGAGUUGCCCGUGAGUGGUGUCUUCAAAUUUUGGGUCUUCAUGUGUCUUUGAAACAACUUGACCAGGUUUUUGUUGUCGCAUCGCUGUUUUUGAUGGAAGUGAUGCUAUGCGUAGGACGUUUUGAUGUCUUUGAAACAACUUUUUAUCGGUUGCUUCGAUGGUUGUUGUGGUGUGCACGUGCUACUGGUCGUGCAUGGUUAAACCUUUCUAUUGAUUGACCUUAAACCGAUACGAAAUCAAGAUUUGUUUAUAUUCCAAUUGGUGUGAAUUCAAUUGGCCUCAAGUAGAUGCGAUCAUGCAUACAUGGUCCUUAGAGCAGGUCCAAUGGUAUGUUCUGCCCUCAACGAUAUGUGAUCUGCCCGGCCGCAUGUCACGUUGCAAUAGGUUUGUCAAUCGUCGUGAUGCUUAUACAUAGAACGUCCUUAUACAUCCCGGUGGAGAUGUGACUAUAAUAAUAAUAAUAAUAAUAAUAAUAAUAAUAAUAUAUAUGUAUAUAUAUAUAUAUGUGUGUGUGUGUGUGUGUGUGUGUGUGGAUGUGUGCAUCAGUCGAUGCAGAUGCCGGGGGUUAUCCUCCUUUUCGGAAAAAAAUACAUAUAAGACGUCCUUUCCUAAUAAAUCCCAAUGGAGAUAUUGGAUUAUUUUCUUUGCAUUAAAAGUUUAGGACACUGGAAUUAAUUUUAGUUAGCACUUUAAGCUAAUAUGUGUAUCCUCACGCGAGAAAUCUGACUGACAGAUGAUUCGCUGUGGAGUAUGACCACGUAUGUGAGAUUCAAUCGGUCUGUCAGCUAUAGGUGUUCAGACCAAAAGUUUCUAAUAUUUAAUUCUAACCUUUAAGAUCUAAAAUCAGGGUUAGAUAUAUUUUAACCUUUGUGGAUUAACAUGAUGGCUUCUUGUCCUUUUUUCUAUUACAGAUGUAUGCAGGUGUUCAUGGUUUGGACUUACUCAGUCGUGUGUGUUUUUGCCGCGUUGUCACUAUACCCUAGUGCGGCUCGUGAACUCCGCUUGGCGAGUGCAGACGGUCGAGUCGCUUGAUCAAAUUGAUCUCGAGCAUGGGACGACGCGGACACAAAUUGAAGACGUUUGGCUUGUAAUCCGCUCGGUAGUUCAUCAAUGGCUGGCUUGCUGCUAAGGCACAUACAUAUGGCCCUCCGUGCGGAUCUAAUUCCUAAUUGGAGAAUCUGUGUCCCUAUACCAACCGGCAAACAAAAUGUGUUUCCAUGUAUAUUGCGGAUUGGUUUCCAUACCGAUUAUUGAUUUGUUUCUAACGUUCUCGGAUCUGGUUGCUUUCUUAUCCCUUUUCUAUUAUGUUACGAUAAAUUUGAAUCCUACGAUAACUUUUGCAAAAUCUGGACGUAGAAUUUCUGCUACUUUAAUUAAUUAGAUAUUGGAUUGGAUUUGUUUUUAUUCUCAACAAUCAACAACUUGUUUUGCUAUUUUGGAUCAAGAACCAUUAUGUAUGAAGUAUUAUUUCAAAUGAGUAACAAGCUUUAGUCAAUACAAACCUGUCCAAAACAAAAAAUAAAAACGAUUUGUUGCCUUGUUUGAAAAAUAAACACCACUAAGAAUACUUCACGCUAACUAAUUACUGAAAGAGUUAUUCAGAGACAUGAUUAAACAUCAUGGGAGUAUAACUACUAGGUCUCACAUCACACCAGAAUAGGGGGUUUAGUCACAACGUGGCUGGGGUGAUUAUCAUUUAUCAAUCAAUUAGGCAGCGGACAUGGAGGCGACGACCGCGUGCGCGACGAUGGCCAUGGACCCGAACCGGUCGUUCUCCAGGGGCAUCAGCUUCGCCGCCUCGCCCUCGCCGCCGCCGGCCAUGCCGGCGCAUCCGGACGCGACGUACUGCGCCGCCUCCAGCACCUCCCGCGCGCCGCGGUACCGCCCCGCCGCCACGGCCCGCGCCGCCCACCGCAGCGCCGGGACCGCGCCUUCGUACAGCUGCAGGCACGACCGGAUCCCCUUCCUCGCCUGCGCCAAUGGCGUCGGUGCCCGUGCCUGGCGUGCGCGCUCCGUGUCCCUGGCGAGGGAGAGGGAGAGCGCGGACUCGAGGCUGGCCUUUGCCGCCGUGGCGUUGGCCGCCGCGAGACUGGCCGCGAGGGCGGCCAGCUGCGCAGUGUUACCGGCGGAGCGGCAGCGGGAGGUUGGGGAUGAACAGAGCGCGGAUGUGCAGAGCUCUGGGGUGACGUAGAAGCUGCCCAGGCUCCCGCACAGCUGCUGCAGCGGCGACGCCGUGGGCACGGCGCCGGCCGAUGUGCGUCCCGGGACGAUGACGCCGGCCGAGAAGAAGAGGAGAAGGGCAAGCACGGGAGAGGAGGUGGCCAUGGAGGUGACAGUGGCAGCAGCUUCUCUGUUCUCAGUUUUCUCUGGUUUCUUCGUUUUGCGAGGCCAAGUAAUGAGACACCGCACCCUGUCUCUAAGUAUGCUUCGGGUUCGAUCUAUCUUCACGAGCCUCACGUUCUCUCUGUUUUCCCGGGGUGCGCCAGUGAUCAGGACGAGGAGAUCGUCCAGACGGUCGACUCGAAAUGAUCCGGUUCGGUAUAUCACCUCCGCUUGAAUUGUCAAAGUAACCACACAUUUAGUGCGUCAUUGAAUGCCAACCUACGCAGGGAAGCGUAGUAAUGGAGAGGGCCAGAAUAACGUGACUCCACAUCAGCCGUCCAUUAAUGGCGAAACGGGGAGGUACACCGUGCUGUGCCUGCCCUCCUGCAGUCACCCAUUGCUCGUGCCCUGGCAGAGCAAAAUGCAGCACCCAACUACCCAUGCCAGCCCGCACUCAAUCGAAUAUACCACUCAAUGUAGGACAGUAGGAGCAGCGCUUGCAUUGCAUCGAAAGAGGAACGCAAAUCCGAUGAGACAAACACACACCGGGUAGUGAGCUCGUAUACGAUCGUUGAAACACACGCCACCCCGAGGAAGAAGAAACCAUGACAAGCCACUUCCUCUUCGUCCUCGUCCUCCUUGCGCUCCUUGCCGCCGCCGCCGGAUCAGUAGCAGGCGUCGCCACGGACACGGUGGCCGAGUCCUGCGACGCGAUCCGCGACUUCGUGGACUACGCCUUCUGCGCCGCCGCCCUCCACUCCGCCGGACCCAACGCCUCCAGGGCGGACCGCCACGCGCACCUGCUCCUCGCCGCCGACCUCGCCGCGUCCCGUGGCGCCUCCGCGGGGGACGCAGCGUCCGCCAUGGCGCGCUCAGAGCGCGGCGACGGCGGCCAGGACAACCAGGAUGCCCGCGACGGGCUGGAGGCGUGCGGGAUGCUGUACGGGGCGACGUCGGUGCCGGCGCUGCGGCUCAUGCGCGGGUACGCGGCGGCGAGGGCAUGGGAGCAGGCGCGGGCGCUGCUGCCGCUCACGGGGCAGGCCGGGAUUGGGUGCGAGGCGGCGCUCGGGGACACGGGGGGCAGGCGGAGGAUGGCCGCGGCCAACCGCGAGUUCGACCAGCUCACCACCAUGGCCACCGCGCUGCUCAACAAGCUCGGCGGCUAGGCUGUCUCGGCUGGGCGCUGGCGCGUGGUAGCUUCCCUGUGUGGGUCGUGUUUGAUGUGGUGAUCUGGAAUCUGGAUGGAUAUGUGUCAAUAAUGGGUAAAUUAGCAAUUAUUCCUGGUGCUAAUUAGUUCUUUGACAAGACAAUGAUGGUAUCAGCUCUUUGACUAGACGAUUAGUUAGGGUUCACAUGAAGGGUCCACUUCUAUUUCAAUUCUGAAAUUUUCUAUUUAAUUUUUUAGCAAAUUUUGAAUAGGAAAUUUGAGAAUUAUAUUAGAAGUGGGCUGUUUGUGGGAUCCCGGUUGCGUCCCUGCAAUUAGUUGCUCCUGUUAAUUGGUAACAUUAUUCAUAGGACAAAUGCUCUUUUCCACGGAAUAAACAAACCAUAUAUAUAAAGCAUGGAGCAAAAUGCAUAGAUAGUCUUUAAACUUGACGCAGUGUUCAUUUUAGUCAAAAAGAAAACUUGCAAAUGCUUGAAUCAGUUUAUUAAACUUGGUAUGUGGGUGUUUACGUUAGUCCAUGUCCUUAUUGGAGCAUGCUUUUGGCCACAUCGCAUUUUGCAAAGUAAACCCUUAAAAAUAUUUCAAUUGACCAUAUAGGCCCUCAAGUUCCCCAUCCUUCGCAGAAGUUCAUCUAGAAAGUGGUUGUGAUGCACCCAACUAGAUGCAAUUCGACAAGGCCCGCACUGGCGUUGCAAGGAGCAUGUGGUCGAUGAGUGACACUUGCCAACGACACUACCGGCAGGGCUACCACGGCGAGGUUUGGGCGGCCUCUAUCGUGACCAGCUGGGUGACACGACAGGCUUCAUGCGAUUGUCAAUGCUCGACCAAUGGCACCACUAGCAUUAUGGUGGCGGCUCAACAAGUCAAGCCGAACGAUAUUGCCAGAAGAAGCUGGAGCAGCAUGGCGUGGCUGAUGUGUGCGUGUCCUUGGUGCAGUUUGUGUGACAUGAGAAGGACCUCAAUGACACCUCCAGGGUGGGGAUAGCGCCACUGGCGUCAUCGCCGCCGCAGCCGGGAUAACCGUCCAGGAUUUCUCCCAGACCCAAACUCACAUCACCCACACCUGUGUCUUCUCAAUAACAUACAGUCACUUAUAUGAUGCAACAGCAGAUGUCUGACGGCGGAUCGGCUUCAUGCCAUCUGGAAGAACUCCGGCGCCUGAUUAUAUGAUGCAAUUCCUUGGAAGAAACUUAUUCGGCCUCCUCAGCUUAUAUGAUGCAAUUCAUUGGAAGAACUCUGGCGCCCGAUUAUCAUGUCAUCUGGAAGACCUGCAUCCCUCCAAAGAUCAAGUUCGCUUCAUGGCUUGCCUGCAACAACAGAUGUCUGACGGCGGAUCGGCUUGCUAUCCGGAACAUUCCUCACGACUCAACCUGCCAGCUUUGCUUUUGCCAUCCGGAAACUGCUAAGCAUUUGUUCUCUGAAUGCUCCUUCGCCGCUCAAGUUUGGUUUGUGAUCGGCCUGCGCCUUAAUUUGACGCUGCCUAACCCCCUGCCUGCGGUCUUUCUCUAAUUGACUGGUGGCUGCUUUCCAUGACAAGAACGACAGAGAAGCGAUCUUGGCUAUCAUCAUGGUUGUCUAGUGGUUCAUUUGGCUUGAGCGCAACCAGCGCACCUUCAAGAAUAUCGCUCGUCUGCCGUCGCAAGUUGCUGAUGACAUUUCGGAGGAGAUCCUCCUCCGGCGGCUUGCUGGAUUCUGUGUUGUGACCAAUCUUUAAUACUCACUCCGUCCAACAAAGGAUGUCUCAACUUUGACUAAAUUUGAAUGCAUCUAUACACUAAAGUCAUGUCUAGACACAUUCAAAUUUUAACAAAUCUGAGACAUCUUUUGUUGGACAGAAGGAGUAGAUCAAAUCGUCUAGUACCACUCUGUCCAGCCUCCGGAGUUUAGCUCUAGAAGUUGCCCGAGCGCUUUGUGGUUAGCUUCCUCGUUUUCCCUUUUCUUGAUCCGUGUUUCAUUCUCCCUUGUUACAUUACAAUUCUGAAUCAAUGAAUUAGGCGCUGCCUUUACGUCAAAAAAAAUAACAUACAGUCAAGGCCCAUAGCUACCAAAUCCAAGGGGAACGAACGAGUUGGAGGGGAGAGGAAAGGAUAACUAGCUCUUAGAUCUGGAAUGGGAGCCAACUAAUCGGGCACGACUCCACGCUUAACACGGUAACACCCACCGGCGUCUCCCAUAGUUGUCAUUUCGAAUGGCUAGCAUAUGAAAUGAUCAUUCAAAUUUACAAAAUAAAAAUGAAAUUUCAACAUAAAUAAAUGUUAGAACAUCGGCCCCGCCCCCACCUUGUACAACGCACCACGCAAGCAUGCAUGGCAGGUAGCCAUGGUCUCGAGAUCGACGGAGAAUCGCCAUGCAUUGUAUGGGGAAGCAAGCACGAUUGACCUCAUGCUGGUUGUAACAAUCUUGGGUGUGAAACGGAAGUACUCAUCCUUGUAGCCCGGCAGCCCGCGAGUAGCUUCCAUCAGCUGGAGACUCUUUUGAAGCUCCCAAUCAUGGCAUCGAAAAGAUCUGAAGAUUGUUGCCUUGCAAACAAACAGCGCGGACCAUGCCGUAGAAAUCCUUGCUGUCGAUGACUCGCACAGGCAACCCUCGGAUGUGGUCCGGCAGCGGGACGAAUGCAAACUCGUUUGCAGACCGGAAUAAAAGCUAGCCAGGAGGAAGAGUCCCCUUGGAUGGCCCAGAACAGAGAACCUCCAGCGCUCCCCAGGAAACUCAGGGGCUGCUUACCUUGAAGGUGGAUUUUGGGCCUGUACGGCGCUUGCUUCUUCGCGUACCAGCCAAUCUUUCCCCUCCAGGCCCGUUCGAACAUGAAGGCCCUGGCGGUGCCAACGUUACCAGAUACUCCGGCGUACUCGUGGUAGAGCACGCAAACCACCGUGAACCUUGACAUGGUAUCGAUGAUCCGGCCGCUCCAUGUCGUAGGUCCUCUGCGGCGCCGCAGUCGUGGAGGAAAACACCAAUGCAGCGGUGGUAUUUCAGGCCCUGAUCCUCCAUGGAUGGGAUGAGCUUGUAGCGCCGUGUGACCGGCUCGCAGACCAGGAGGUCAGGCAACAAGCGGUGGCGUCUCCACCCGGGUUUCCUCUUGGCGACAAGGAGGAGGCUGUGACGGCUGUCGACGAUCUCCCAUGCCCCGGCGCCGCCUGCGGGGAGGAAGUCGAGGGAGAAGUGGCAGCCAUUGACAGCGACCUUUGGUGGAGAUGAGGGAACAAAAACGAGGCCAUGGCCGCCGUCGAGACAGAGGGGCGAGCUCAGGCACAGGAGGAGGAUGAGCUCCAGGAGCUUGUCGGGGACGCCGUGCCGCUUCGUUGGCCUUGACGACGUCUCCUUGCGCACCAAUGCCAUGCUGUCUUUGGUCCUACCAUUACUGGCCAUGGGAGUCAAUCGAUCGUUUGGUAGAUUCUUCCUCUGUCGGAUGUGAGAUUUCUUCCUCUGUUGGAUGCGGCUCAUUGGAUGCGAGAGAUUGGUGUCGUGUUAGCUGAUGUUGCUGUACUCGUAUGUGCUGGCUUUGCCGUGGCGCGCCCUCCAAGGCUCCAAGCAGCAUUAAUAUUUUUUUGCUAGUCAACGGGGUUUGGUUCCAACUUCCGAAGGUACUUUCCGUUCGAAACGCGCUUACUUUUGCCAAAGUUUUGUGGAGAAGAUUAUGAAAGUACCCGUCGUUAGCUCAUCACCGUUUGACAUGUGCAACAAUUUUCGAUGCUCUUUGUGUCGUCACCAUGUAGCUAGCCAGGAUGUAGCUAUGGAGAAGUCUAACGACGUGCAGCCUGCCUGAUGAGGUAAAAGGGACUGACAGUAGCAUCAGCAAACCAGACAGUAAAGAACGCUGCCACAAUAUAUGUACAUCGUUUUUGUUUACUUGCACUAACAAAAGGGGCAGUGUUGCAACAUACUUAUCCUAAGCUGAUGCGCAGUAACAAAAGGAUCAGAUUUCUUGACAUCAACGUAGUUCUCUAUUCUCUAACGAUUUCAAAGAACAAAAUCCCCGUUCUAGACAGGAUUCAUUUCCUUCAGAGGAACUGCUGAAGCCAGGGAUUACCGGCUGCAUCUUUCUCGAAGUCCAAUUUCAGUUUGGUCACGACCUCCGUGGCCUUUCUCCCAUCCAUCUCAUCUAGAGGCAAUGCCGAGAACUCUUCCAACAAAACGCGGGCUCGAGCAGCUCCCCUGGUCACAUCAUCUGGGCUAAACACCCUCUUGCGUUUAGAUCCAACCUGUUGCAAAGGGCAACAACACUCGCUAAGGAAAAGGGUACUAAUUUGAGAAAUGCCUUUAGGACUCCUAAAUCCACUUUUUUCCCCUUCUGUUAGAGAAUUCCUAAUCCCGCAAAUUGUUCACCCACAAAUUUUUUUUUAGAGAGAGUUCACCCACAACUAGGUCAAAACAGCCACGGAAGUUAAUUCGAGUUUUAUUUGCAGAUACCUCGUCAUUUGAUUCAUCAUUGAAGUUGGGUGCAGCAGAGAAGUCUUCUAACUCUUCUGCUUUGCUUUUUGCAAGAGCAAUGACAGCUUCUGGAAAAUUAGCAAAUUCCGCAACAUGGAUACCAAAACUUUGGUCACAGGCACCAGGUUCAACCUGCAAAAAGAAAGGGGCAAAUGACGUUUAGCACACUGCUAUUGAGUUAUUUUCCUCUUCCUUUUACUCUAAGCACACCCAGAAAUUUAAUACAACAUGUUCAUUGUAAAAAUCUCUUUUUAGCAGUAAACAUUACUGAACCAAAUAGGGCUUCAUAUUUGUAUUAUUUAAAGAGACUUAUAACCUACAAGGAGUCAAGGACAUAAAAUAGAUGCAAAGAGCAUAUAGAAUGAACUCCUGAAAUUGUUUGCAGGUCAUGAACUAAUCUCUUUUUUUUACAAGACAUAACAUUUGUUUGGUUUAAAAUAAUACUUGUUAGAAAACUCAUCAUCCACCUUUCAGACACAACAAUCAUUAGAAACUUGCCUAUCGGGAUAAGACAGAAUGGCAGGCUGAGUUUCACCUUCCGCCAAAUGGAAAUAAAUACUCCCUCCGAUCCAUAUUACUUGUCUCAAAUUUGCCCAAAUAUGGAUGUAUCUAUGUUUAAAAAGCGUUUAGAUACAUGUAAUAUUUCGACAAGUAAUUCAGGCCGGAGGGAGUAGCAAAACAGCAGUAUAAUUUUGACUGAUGAAGGACUAAUGCUAUGUCCAUAACAAAUGUAAAUCUUGUUAUUUUAAAUAUAUGGCAUACAAGUUCAAGCAAUUCGUGGGUAGAAGCAACUACAAAAUUGAAAAUCAUUGGGCAGCUGUCAAGUGAUUGUAGAGAAACCUAUAACAAGACUCAAGAAUUUAAGACAACACAGUAAGCCAUCAAAAUGGUUUCAAAAUGUGGUUCAGAAGUUCACGUCGCAAAAGGUACCUUAUAAAGCAUAGUUAACUUCCGACUUGAUGGGUCUAUAUGUGCACCCACAUGAUAAUUUGCAAUUCCAACAUCUGGAACAUGUUGGUGCUGAUCACCAUUUUUGUUUGCCAAUGCGGUUAAUUCAUGAAAAUGAGUUGCAAACAAUGUAGGAGCUCUAGUUACUUCAACAAGAUGUUCACAGAUAGCCCAUGCAAGACCUGGCCAUAAAAAAAAUGUAACAAUCCAAAAUAUGAGUUAGAUCUCAUAUUCUACUCCCUCUGUUCCAAAAUGUAAGAAGUCCUAGCUUUUGUCCUAAAUCAAACUUCUUAGGACUUAGGAAAAAGCAAUGACUUCCUACAUUUAGGAACGGAGGUAGAAGUUGCCUACAAUCUCAGUAUACUGUAGUAGUGCACAAAAACUCAAGUGCUAAAAAGAUGUAGCUAAAAUGCAUUUUAUGGAGAAAUAAACUCGUGAUUAGAGGUCUAGGGGGGUUUUCAUAAAAUAUGUUUAGAUGUUCCAUCUUUCAUGUGAUCCUUUAUUAAAAAUCUAAUGGCUAGGAUUGAGAAUUUUCAAGUUUUCACUGAAUAGAGAUUUUCACCUGAUACAUUUCCUACUAACUCAGGUUCACCAAAUAGUAGAUCUAUCAGAGAUUCAGAGUAUAAAAGAGGAAAUCCUUGUAUGAAGGGUGAACACACUGGAUACUCCAGCUCUUUGUUGUACAGACACUCGACAGUAAAGAGGAACCAAGUAUAAGGCAUAACAUGUUGGUACAAUACAUGGUCCUAACCAAAAACAGAGUUUAAGAUAUCCAAUGUCAGUUGAAUGAACAGUUCACAUGUAAAAUGCUUACUUCAAAUCAAGUUGCAGUGAUUCUAAAAGUCAAUAUUCGCAAAACCGCAGUAGGAAAAAAAGAUGGUGCCAAACAUGUAAUUUCAAAUGAGUACUUCAAAUCAAAUUGCAGUAAAAAUGAUUCAACAAGGUCAUAAUAUUGCAAAACUGCAGUAGGAAACAAAAAUAAUGAUUACAAAUGCUUAUCUAAUCUGUCUACAUCCAAACAUGACAAAAAAGUGAGAAAGACAAAUCAAGAAAGGUUUAUGAUACAAACCAAAUCCAUCAUAUGUGGAAGUUCCGCGCCCCAACUCAUCGAUAAUUAUAAGAGACUUCUCAGAUGCACCUUUCAAGAUGGAUGCUGUUUCAAGCAUUUCUUGCAUAAAGGUUGAAACACCGCGGAGCUGUCGACAAAAAUGUAAAUUUAACAAUUUAUAACUUCAAGAUUUUGCAAAACUACAAAGACCAAGACAGCAAGUUUAGACCUAAAAUAUCCCCAGGACCAGUUAUUGAUUGAAGAGUUUCAUGCGCUAGCCAACGCAAUCAAAAGACCGAUCCGAUGGAAAGGGCUAGGCAAUCCACUUAUACGUCAACACAACCCCUAAAGUGUGGCUCCCUCAGGCCUAAACGUGGACCGAAAGUGGGUUGAAAUUUAAUUGCGCUAACCGGGUCUCGAACUCGAGACUCUUGGCUCUGAUACCAUGAAGAGUUUGAUGCGCUAGCCAACGCAACCAAAAGACCGAUCUGAUGGAAAGGGCUAGGCAAUCCACUUAUACUUCAACAUUGAUUAAAUUUAAAUGUGUAGCACUUGUAAAGGUUACAGUCAUUCACAAUUGGAAAUAUGAGCUCCUUCACCCCUGCUUUAAUAGUUUACGACUUUAUGAUGCCAUUUAUGUCGCCAUAAGUGUCUUACCAUCCUGGGGCUGCCCUCCUGUCUCCUUUACUGAGCUGGUGCUUGUACUACGAAAACUAAGAACAUUCUGAAUCUUUUGUUUGUCUUUUCAGAUGCGAGAACAUCGUGAAUGUAACCCAGUCUUCCUAUUAAAAACUACAUAGACUGCCCUAUUAAAAACUGCAAGUUUCAACUUUCCUUUGGAAAAUAUCAGCACCACCGUUAGUAAGAACACCCUCCCCUCAUGACUUAAAAAAAGAAGAUGAAGCUGGUUAGCCCUAUUAUCUAUCUAUGUUUAUGUAAGGAUAAUUUGGUUCUGUCAUAUCAAAACACAUGUUUAGGAAAAUAACACCCAAAAAAUUUAGUCACAUUAAUAACAUUUGACAUUUCAGACCCCCCCCCCCCCACACACACACACACUCCAUCAAAGGAGACAAUUUUGCCCUCUCCUUGUUCAUUUGACAUGUUCGUUCUCAUUCUCGUGGUCACAACUCUAACUAAACUGAUAGAAAAGGAUCAUAUCGUGCGCGCUGCCUUUUGAAAUAUAUUGCCCACUUCCAUCUGUUCGAGCUUUUGGAUGAACUAGUUAGGUGCAUGCAUGCAAUUCAUAUGGUAUCAGAACCAAGAGGUCUCGAGUUCAUGAUCUGGCCAACACACUAUUAAUAAAAGUAGUUGCAGCCUACAUAGAUCCCACAUCCAAGGCCUGGAGGAGCCUAGACCUGAGGGAGUUCUUAAAUAUAUUGCCCACCUCUCCCCCAUCAGCUCGAGCUUUUCGAUGAAUUGGUUAGGUGCAUACAAUUCAAUAUGGUUUCAGAGCAAAGAGAUCUCAGUUCAAGACUCAGCCCACACACUAUUGAUAAAAAUAGUUGCAGCCAACAUUAAUCCCUUGUCUAAGGUCUGGUGGAGCCUAGACAUGUGGGGAGGUGUUGAAAUAUAUUACCCACCUUUCCCUUGCAGCUCGAGCUUUUGGGUGAACUGAUUAGGGUUAUGCAAUUUCUCAUACGGUACCAGAGCCAAGAGGUCUGAAGUACAAGACCCAGUCAACAAGCCAUUAAUAAAAAUAGUCAUAGCCUACAUCAAUCCCAGGUCUAGGGUCUAACAUCUGGUGGAGCCUAGACAUCAGGCGAUUGAAAUAUUAUUGUUCACCCCUCUCCAUUAGCUGAAGCUUUUGGAUGAACUGGUUAGGUGGAAGCAAUUCAAUAUGCUAUCAGAACAAACAGGUCUCAUCAAGUUCACGACCUGGCCAACAAACUAUUAAUAAAAUAGUUGUAGCCUACAUCGAUCCCAUGUCUAAGGCUUGGAGGAGCCUAGACAUGAGAGGGAGUGUUUGAAAUAUAUUGUCCACAUUUCCGCAUCAGCUCGAGCUUUUUUGGGUGGAUUAGUUAGGUGCAUGCAAUUCAAUAUCAGCUUCCACCAUGGCUUCUCACGUGUCGACGCUAUGGAUCUCACUCGUUGGCGCUGGCGCUGGCGCCAACCCUCCCGAGUCCCGUCGCAUUGCCAUGUUCUGCUUGCCUCAUCGUUCCUUCUGCAGUCCAUGCCAUGCCUCCAAUUAUUGUGCUCGCCUAUGUUGUGCGGUGUGCCUCCGCCCACAAUUGUGCUCCCUCGUGGGGCAUUUGACCAAAGAUGUGGCAGGUGGCAACCUAGAAUCCUCACUACUUCAAUGAGGACGUCUCUUCAUUGGAAGUACACGUCCAGCAACCGGUUGGUUUUGAUUCAUUCUGGACGUCUAGUUCAACGACAUAAACUAUGGGCAUCCGUUGCCUCCUGUGUGCUUGGCAUUUAAUAAGUAGAAAACCCAAAAAGCAGUAGCAGAAUGUGAAAAUACAAAAUGGAAGGUAUUAACAUGUACGAAAUUCUUUGGAUGUGAUUUUCCUAAGCAUGUGAUCUUUGAGUGUGAGGGAGCAAAUAUUUCCUUUGCGUAAAGAGAGGGUUAAAAAGAUUUUGAGCCAGAGUGUUAAGAAUUAACAUAUUUUUUAUAUAUGCUUCAAAGAACUACUUAUUGAUAUUGCAAAGGUGCGACUCAUCUAGUUCAUAUUUUUCAUUGUGUGUGCCUAUUUAAUUUGCUAGUUUUGUACCGCCACCUAAAAGAACAAUACCAUAUACUGCUGCUUGCGCUAUUCUAAGAGAAGAUUAAAACAAACUUACAACCAAAUGCAUUUUCAAUAAAAAAAACUUAAGAACAAAACAGCUUAAUGAUGAACCAACUUACUUGGCAAUCACCAGCGCCAACACGAGCAAAAAUACAAUCUCUCACACUGAUGCUUGCCUGAUCACAAGGAACGAAGGAACCAAUUUGUGCCAUCAGGACGUUCACACCAACCUGUACAAAAUGAAAAACAGAAGGCAUCAGAUCUGAUGAUAAUAAUUACAGACAACUCAUUUGUAGCAAAAGUUGAACAUGUGAUAGGCGAACUAAUAUGUUCUAAAGCAAAUAAAACAAGAGAAUUGAGAAAAAUACAAGAACCAAGAACGCGGGCCCACAAGUGCAAAUUUGUAUGGUUAUAAUGGAUUCUUAGGAACUAGGUAUUAUGGACUGGGUCCACGACGCAUAGUUUUGGUAGGAUAAUGCUCUGAAGAAUGCAGAUUGGGCAUGCACUUGUUCUGAACAACCGACAGCACAGCGUGGAAGAUAGGAUCUGAGGCCAUGGAAAUUUCUGGUUAUUUCAUUGUUCGUUACACGUUAAUCCUUUCUAUAUAGGAUGACUAACUUGAUCCAGAAGGUAGCUCUCAAUUAAUCAAGACCAAACCAUAACACUACCUUCCUAGUUCAAUUGGACUCUACCUAAUUUAACUGAGUCUUUAGAAUACUUGAUUUAUUCUUUUAUGAACCUUCAUAUCUCUAACAUAGCCUAUCGCCCUAUCCCAUACCUUCGCGGAUAUAUCUAUCUCCAGCUGCCUUGUGCACUCAUGAGUCAUGACCAGAACACUGUACCAAGUGGUAUUUUGUAGACCCAUGGGCAUGAACAUAACAUUGUACCGAGUCAAUCAGGUAUUUUGGUUUGCCUCCACUUAUCAUUUUCCUUUGGAAAAAACAUAAAGGCUUUGCUCCUCAAUACAUUGACAGAAAUAAGAUAGUUAUGUUACAAGCCUAGGACACCACACCCAACCAUUACACGUAUUUCACUAAUCUGGUAACAGGCAUUUGACAUCGUUGGCACCUGCUAAUGCCUAAUCCCUAGACAUUGCUUUGAUUGUUUGAACUAUGUGCAAAUGUCCAACUUCGCCAUUGAAGAUAACAACCCUAAUCCUAACAAUCUUUAACCAAGGCAAUCUUAUAUUAUCCAAACUAACUGGCUCAAAGCCCGUUUAAUUGGUUACCAAAAGGAAUCUUUCCAUGUGUACCGCUGGCAUGCGGCAGCCCAUAACAUAACACCCUUCUUUGUAAAACAACUCGUCUUUGAGAUAUGUGGAAAGGGCCAAGGACAAAGACCUUGAUGGACCACCUUGAUGAGCGACCUACAGGAAAAACCUUUCAAAAUGCUGACUACAACUGAUCUGCGAACAACUGCAGCAUAACCUUUGUACACCAGCUAUUCUGAUUCACUUAACUUGUAUGCAGGGAUCAGAUAAUUUUGUGAAGGUACAUUUCACAAUUGCAUACAUUACCCUUCCAAGAAAGUAUUCUGUCAUACUAGCAUUCAAUGCAACCACUCCUAUUUACAAGUAUACAUGAUAGACCAUACUAUCCUGCUAUCACCUAGCAGUGACACCAAUAAACUUAUUUAUCAUCCAAAGUACCAUGAACAUAUUUACAGUAUGUGAUAGAGGAAAUCUAAGACAGUCAUCAAACAUGCCAAACGCCUUAAAUAGACCAUCAUUGCUUUUAUUAUGGAAGUGCAAAUCUGACCUGUCGUAUAAAAGUGGAUUUUCCACCCAUGUUCGGCCCUGUGAUGAUUUGAAACCAACUUUUCCCUCUCAUCUGUUUAGAACCAUUUGAAGCAUCAACGAAUGACGAACCUCAGUGGCUAUGUGCUGCUGUAUACAAUCUCAUGCUAUACUUACCAACGUGCAAUCAUUUGGUAUGAAGUUAACACCAUCUUGGGCCUCCAGACAAGGAUGUCUACUACCUUGUAGCACAAUAUCUCCUUCCUCCUGUAUUAAGUUCAUCGAAUUAGAACUGCAGUGCCAUUUUCUUUUCUUUUUUAAAUUGCUCCUUUUUGUAGUGUGUAAGCUAAUAUUCUUACCGAUGUUGUGAUAUCUGGUCUUAUAUAAGGAACUGGGCAGCUUGUUGCCAAAUCAGCAAAACUUUGUAAAACAUCUAACUCAGAUAUAAUUGCAGCAAAAUUCUCAAAUACCUGUAACAAGAAUCUAAGAUUGGUUACAAUCACAGAUGACAAAGAAGGAAGAAUAUCAACUGCAAAACUUUAUCUCGAUUUACCUCUGAAAAGGUGCAUGAAAUUCUCACUACAUCAUCGACAAUCUUUUUCUGACAACUUGUGUACUCGCCGAGCAGUGCCUGGUAUUGUUCACCUAGCUUUUUAAGUUUUGUGCUUGUGAACUUCACGCCAUCUUUACGGGUUUCUAUGAUAAUGUAACUGCUAGUGAGUUUUUUCCUGACUUUCUGCUCUUCUUUCUUUGAGAUUCUGAACACAUGUCCAAAUGGCCCUUUUUCUAGCUUCAAUUGCUUAUCAACAGAAAGAUCCAGAUCAGUGGCUGUGUGCAUAUGUGAAUUGUUGAUGUGAUUCUCAACUUCAGAAAGCUCAUCCUUGAGCACAGCCAAAUCAGAAGAAUAUCCUGGUGAUAUCCUGUACUCGCCAUUUUCUACUUGUUUGAGGUCAAUAGCUGUCUCAACCAUUUCAGAAAACCUACCAUACCGAUUCUUUGUCAACCACUCUUCAAAAGAGCUAACAAACCUUUUUCUUAUCAAUGUAGAAAAUUGACCGUUGUACUGUUGAAGAACAUCCUUGAUGUAUGAGAUUCCACGGCAGGACUGCAAAACCAUGGAUUACAAAGUAAAAUUUACUGGAGCAAAUAUAUUCAAGAGGAAAAAUAUUUGCAAAAGCAUGAGUCUAUGUAAAUACAUAAAUAACUUUUGAUGGAUAUAUGUAGAGAGGUUUCUGUUUUACUAGAAGCCCAUACUGAUAUACCAUACUGCUAAACAUUAUCCUGGCUCAGGAAUCUAGUUUCUAAUAUGUUACUCCCUACGUUCCUAAAUAUAAAAGUUUUAGCUUUUUCCUAAGUCAAAGUUCUUAAACUUUGACCAAAGUUAUAGAAAAAACUACCAACAUCUACGGCUCUAAAUUAUUUUUAUUAAAUCCAUCAUGAUAUAUAUUUUCAUAGUAUAUACUUAUUUGAUAUUCUAGAUGUUGAUGCAUUUUUCUAUAAACUUGGUCAGAUUUUAAGAAGUUUGAGUUUGACUUAGGACAAAGCUAUAACUUCAAACUUCUUAUAUUUAGGAACGGAGGUAGUAGAACUUAGGACGCUCUGUCGAAGAUACAGCAACACAAGUACUUUAAGAAAAGGUCCAAUGCUUGUUUCGAAAUAUGGUAUCUGAACCUUGUACUCACUGCUUCAACAUGGCAGUGUGAUAAAUUUAUCUGUGUGCAUAUUUCGGCCAAAAAAAACAUCUUUGCAAACUGUCGUGAAAAGAAAAUAAAAGUAGAUAGAAACAAAAACCUGAUAGAGCUUAACAACAGGCUGCAGGUUGGCUGAUCUCUUCCGGAGAGCAUGUGUUAGACGGUCAAUAUCAGAUAUCCUUUUAAGUUGUUGCCUAAGACCCUGACGAAGCUCUGGAUCUUCUGCGAAAGCCUGAACCAUAUCUAAUCUGUUAUUGAUUUCAUUUACAUCUAGCAGAGGUUGCUUCAGCCAUCUGUUGAGCAGUCGUUUACCCAUCCCAACUGUACAAGUUCUGUUCAUCAGACCAAACAAACUGAAAUUCUUGUUUGCAUCAGUUUUUCCUUCAGCAAUAUUCAAUGCUCGCAUGGCAGCAGAGUCAAGUCGCAUGUAGCGAUCCAAAUUGUAUGUCUCAAUUGUGUAAUUUCCAUAGUUAGUAUCAUCUGCUAGCAACUCAGCAUAUGACACUAGAGCUCCAAGGGCACCCAAAGCAUAGUCAAAUUGAGAUAGGAGGUCACGAACUGGCUCAACAGAACCCCUGAUUAUUCUACCAAGAUCCUGCACAAGAUCUCUAGACUUAAAAUCAGCCUUCUUUCUUUCGGUUAGUAGAACACUGCACUUACUAAUAGCAUCCUGAAGAGGCUGCAAAUCUAUUGGUUUCUCAAAAUCUGCCGGAAGAAGACAUUCCUUGCAACCUAAUGCAACAAGGGCUGAUUCAACAUUUGUGAAUCGACUAUCUUCAGGGAACUCAGCCAGCCCAAGCUUCCGGUUCGUCAUAUCCACAAAACUAAGCCCUAUAUAGAGCUGACUUUCACGCAGCACAGGAAACAACGCAACAGUAACUGGAGAAUCUUGCAUGUCAUUGUUUGUAAACAGAAUAUCUUCAAAACUGCCGAUGUUUCCAGGUGUUCCAGAUUUUGCUAAUCUCCAACUUGACCCACUUCCCUCAUAGAGCUCCAGAGUACAAUCUGUCCUCUCUAACAAAAGAUUGCGGGCAAUGGUCUCAAACAUAGCCCUGCUUACGCUGACACUUGAUAUCCCAUCGGAGUUACUGCCUAACUGGCGCAAGGCAGUCAUUGUGUGAUAGUAUGUCUUUGCAAUAAAUGUGGCAUUUUCACCAUGAGCCGUGUAAUAAUCCUAGAGAAACAUUUAACUUUAGUUUACAGCAUGCUCUUUUAUAAGAGAAUUGUAUGCGUACGAAUAAAGUACAAAUAUUCUUAAGAGCAAAUGGUGAAGAUUAGCUUUGUAUGAGAGUGAUAUGUCUCAAUAGUUGUAACUUCUACACGAUGAAGACAGUCUUCUGACGAGCUAGUAACUCAUGACAAAUGUGUAAAUAAUCUGAAAAAAGAUCUCUUGAAUCAAUUUACUUAUGAAGACAGACACAGAUAUUUGCAUGAACUACCAAAAUGCAGAUACAGUAGAAGAUGACCUUUUUUAACGCUAUACAUACACAUUACUGUGCAUUCCACUAAAACUCCCAUGAUGAACCACGUGUGAAUAUUAAUACUCCCUUCGUUCCAUAAUUCUUGUCUCAAAUUUGCCAAAAAAUGGAUGUAUCUAUUCCUAAAAAGCGUCUAGAUACAUGUAAUAUUUUGACAAGAAUUAUGGAAUGGAGGAAGUAAGUUUUAAAUGCAUCUCAAAACGUUAAAAACAAUAUCGAACUAGAAAUAUUUUAUAAUAUCUCUAACCUCACGAAGUAUGCAGUAUUGCACGGAAAUGGUAAACAGUCUAGGUUGGCAACCUCAGCUGAUAGUGGCCCAUUUUUCCAGUGAAUGGAAGUUUUACAUAACGCAGAAACAUAGCAUGUCACUAAAACUGUGUUGACUUUUCACAAACUUAGGUCAAGAUAAGUCUCGAUUUUACUCACAUUAUACCAGAACUAUCCAACAAAUUGAACUAAGAUUAAAAAUUUCUUAAUUAUUUUCUCGUUACAUUUGAGAAAUUGUUCAAGAGUAAAAAGAAUACUGGAGCACAUAUACAGUUAUCAGGUAAGUAUAGCAAAAAUAUAUAACGCCACUUACCCGGCGAUCGAAGAAACGAAUGGCCCGAGGAUCCUACAGUGCCAGGAUAAUAAAUCAGGAACGGAUCUCUCAAAAUAGACGCCAGAAAUUAAGAAAAAUAGAAGAUAAAUCGGGGAGAGACUUACCUUGGGCAACUUCUUGAAGAAAGAGAUGAAACCCUGCGCCUGUCUUGCAUCUAUUGAAUCACCGAAUCAAUCAGAAAAAGAACAAAAAAAAAACGAAAACCUAAUGCGCCAAGCAAACACGAAGCGAUCCAAGAACGAGAGCGCGCGCACCUAGCUUGAGCUCUGGGAGCUUGCCCCCCUCAGGCAAGUAGUCUUCACCUUCCAUACCCCUACUGAAUGACGCCGGAGCGGCAGUGACGGUGGCGCGGACGAAGUGCUCGAUGAAAUGUGUGCACGGGGGCGGCGGGAAAAGUUAGCGGUUUAGGAGGGAACCGAGCGGCGAGCGCGCGUGCGAGAAGGGGAUUUGGCGAGUAAACAAAGGGGUGGGGCUUUAUGGGGGGAGCGCCGGAUUGCAGGGAACGAGGAUACUGGUCGCCCCGGGGAAUCCGCGGCCGGGACUCAGGGGGCCCGGGGCUGACCUCUUGACUCCGGUGCCCGGUUUCGACUUGCACGGCUGGACCUGCAGGGACCAGCACUGCACUGCACGGCCCGUCUCCGACUCUCCGUAUGCGUAUGUGUACAGUGUACGCAUGCAUCUGUAUACACCGCGUACCAAAGUUGAAUUUCUGCGCUAAAUCACAUCAGAAAGUUGUGUAACAAUGUAAAUUCUUGGGGAUGUUCAUUCAAGACAUUCGAAAUCACAUUUACAAAAGUUGAUGCAAAAUAUAAUUAUACUACUGAUGUGCUUGCGUGUUGCUACGAUAAUUUUUGCAAAUGCUAACGAUGUCCAGGAAUUAUUACAGGAAGACAAUGUAUGGAUUAGAUAUUAGGAAUACGUGCACGCCCGGAGGAAAAGAACCUUGGCAUAAUCUCUAUUCCAUUUCAUUCUUAUAAGAACUAGUUGUAUACGAGCGCUUCGUCGCGCCGUCACUGGGAACUGUACAUGACUUCUCUUCCUCUUCCGCACCCAAGAUUACAUGACUUCUUCCGCACCCAAAUCGCGACGCUGAUACUUGAUCUUUAUUUUCUCAAUAUGCAGCCCUUAUUUUUUUUAAUACAACAUAAAAUUAAUAUUUCCUCCAUCUCAUAUUAAGUGACUCAAAUUUAUCCAAAUAUGGAUAUAUUUGGACACUUAGGGAGUACAUAUUUCUUCAACACUUCAGAUUUCAAACAUGACUAAAGUUACAUCAAGAUCACAUAAUCUAAAUAUUCUGUAGUGCUGAAUAUUAGAUGUUUCAGAUCCUCAAACCAAUAAUGCAGAACACCAUAUGAAUCCACAGUUUUCAUAAAGUGUUUCAUAUCCUUUCAACAAAAACUAUUAAGAGUACAAUGUCCGAAAGAAAUUCAAAACAGCAUGAACUUCCAACUUAAAUUUGAGCUUCACCUCACACGGCUAUCUCCUCGCUUCCUCAUUUUGUUUUUUGAAUUCCUCCUUUUGCUUUUGUUUCUCUGCAUGAACACUCACUUAAUAUGGGAUGGAGGGAGUACUACAAUACCAUAAUUCAAUAGGAACUACAAAACUAACACAUCUAGACUGCAUAACUGUAAGAAAACUAACUCAUCUAGAUUGCAUAAUUGUAAGAGCAAGUCAAAAGUUGAAACUUCAGAGAAAGAUAACAAUUUCCGUUGAUGAAGUUCCCUUACCGAGGAGCGUAUAAAAAAACGAGGAGGUAUGUCAUAUCACAAGCACUCUUUAAUUAUUUAUGCAUGUCAUACCACAAGCACUCUUUAAUUAUUUAUACGUAUUUAUAACAUAGAUCAAUUUUCGUAUCAUUUUCAAAGUUCGCACUUAAGUUAGAAGGAAUAAGAUGGAUGCCAUAUUAGACAAAGAGCAUAAUAAACCUUUUGAAGUGCUUCACUGCAUCCAUUAGAAUAGAGUUGCAAGAGAUAUAUUAAUUUUGCAACAACAGAGCAAACUGAAUGAGUUACUAUUUGCUAAGGUGAUGCAAAAAUUAAAAAAAAUAGGAUAUGGUGCAGAGUGCUACACACACAUCACAGUGACAAAAAAGAUUCGUUCUCUUGUUUUUGCUCCAGACCUUGUGUAUUAAAAACCCAUUGACAAUGUGAACCAAAGUUAAGCUGCGAUGACCAUGGAAAGAGAAUAAUGCAAAGACAAGCUGCAAGAAAGGAUCAUUAUAUAUGCAAAAUGCACACAAUUCUAUUUAGAACUUCGGGAAGUUUAACAACAUUGCUAUAAGAACUUCAGUCUGAAAUUAGUAGCAUUUCUUCCAAUACAGUGAGAUUCAUGUGAAGGACCUAAGGAAGAACUUUGUAAAUAUUAUAUUGCCAAAGGGAUAACAACCCAUUAUUAAUAUUAGGCUAUUGGUUUACCCUCUGAAUUGAUGGUAGGUGCUUUCAGUACUUCUACGUCCUCCCUGUAUAGCCCCUGCAAUCAAACUGCCGGUUGAAGUGUACAACUCAAAGCAUGGUUCACUUGCAUGAAGUAUGGGUCACUUGCAUAGCAAAAUGGUUACUCACGAACUCCACAUAGCAUUAAUAAAUAAAUAAAUAAAUAGCAAAUAUGAGAACUGAUGUUUAGAAAGAAACAAAUUGCUUCAUCGUUAACUCGUCAAGAUUUCAAGACCAAACAUGUGUAAGCAUCAAUUUGAAAUCUAUAUCUAUAUAACCUAUAAAGUUGAUCCCCACUAACUGCAAUUAAUGUUUGCAAGCUUUGACAUGCAAGCUAUCCACAUCAUCAUCCACAUCAUGCAUAUCAUGGGCAUUCAAAGGCUCCACAUUACCAUCCACAUCAUGUGUUGUUGUACACUAGGAAUCCAUUUUGGUGGUCCAUUCGAAUUUAAUAUUUUGAUGCCUAAGAAUUUUCAUCUUCGCGUUGCAUAUAAAUAUUUCACCAAGCACACAUAUUUUCAUGAUAUGUAUGUCAAUUUUUCUAAUAUCUUCAAAUAUUCAGGUUGACGAAGCUUCACUUUUCGGUUUCUUCAAAAUUAUUAAUGUCCAUGCACAUCAAAAUUACACAUAUUAUUUUGUUGCAUAGGUGUUAUGAAUGAUAAAAUCGUUUUGUCCUACAAUAUUCAUAUUUAUUUUACAUUAAAUCAUAUUAUUAUCAUUUGUUUCUAAAAUCAUAUUCAGAAGUGCAUAUAGAAUUUUCCGCGGCAACACGCGGGGAAUCACCUAGUAACCUAUAAAGUUGAUCCCCACUAACUACAAUUAAUGUUUGCAAACUUGACAUGCAAGGUGUCCACAUCAUCAUCUACAUAAUGCACAUCAUGAGUAUUCAAAGGUUCCAAAUCACCAUCCACAUCAUGUGUUGUUGUACAUUAGGAAUCCAUUUUGGUGGUCCAUUUGAAUUUAAUAUUUUGAUACCUAAGAUUUUUCAUCUUCACGUUGCAUAUAAAUAUUUCACCAAACACACGUAUUUUCAUGAUAUGUAUGUCAUUUUUUCUAACAUCUACAAAUAUUCAGGUUGACGAAACUUCACUGUUCGGUUUCUUUGAAAUUUUAAUGUUCAUGCACAUCAAAAUUACACCUAUUGUUUUGUUGCAUAGGUGUUAUGAAUGAUAAAGCCGAUGUGUCCUACAAUAUUCAUAUUUACUUUAUAUUAAAUCAUAUUAUUAUCAUUUGUUUCUAAAAUCAUAUUCAGACGUGUAUAUAGAAUUUUCCGCGGCAGCGCGCGGGGAAUCACCUAGUAUAACACAUAAAGCUGAAAUAAGAGUUACUGCUGAUUUACCAACCUCUUGAACAAUUACUGAACAAAGUACAACAGCUCCUUUGAUAGGAUCAAGAUCAACACGAAAUUUCAGAUAGUCCUAUACCAUUUGAUAUAUAUGUUCAUCUUUGAUGGAUAGACCAAUCAAAUCAUUUGGGUCGCAAGGUAUCGAUGUGUAAAAAUGGAGAUUUUUUUUGAGUAAGUAAAUACGGAGAUUUGGAAAUCCGCCAGUUCGCAGCGAGCCUAUUUGCCCAAACAUACAACAUUAUUAACUUCUAAGCUAAGUAAAUCGAUCAGUGACGACCACGAACGAAAUCCCUUACCUGAUAGCUCUGUGCUUUGUUUUUCUAUUAAUUUCUUAUCACAACUGAAAGUCCUGUAACCAGAAGCAGAAACUGAAAAAAUAAAGAAGAACGAUCCUAAUAAUAUCUUCAUCUAAUUUGAUGGACAAACCAAUCGAAUCAUUUGCUGACAUCGAAGAGCGUAUAUCCUGUCUCCAAAAUAAGACGAAAUAUGCAUGUGGUAUCAAACCUGGCAUGAUCCGCUGCCUGUCGCUGCUGCCUCCGCCGUUGUUUUGACGGGGGAGGUGGGGGCGUGGGAGGGGAGAUCGAGGUCAUCGGGCGGUGACCUGGUGUACCAUGCGGCGGAACUGGGCGGCGUAGGCGCUGAUGUAGGCGCGACCGCAGCUUCGUCAUGAGAUGGCGGUGCGCCGCCGCCGGUGGGCGUGAGGUUCUCGAGGAGGACGGCGGAAGGUGCAGCCACGCCAACGAUAGAGCAGUGUAGCACAUAACUUGCGGCAGCCGCGGUUGAACUUGGCGGCGAGGCGGUAUCUUACAAGCAUACAUAGCCGGAUCCCCUCGUCGCGCUAUAGACGUACCUACUGCCGGCCGCUGCCGGCGCUCGUGUCAGGCUCAGUGGGCUUCACACCUCCUUCCUCGUCGCGCGCGCCCUACGACGGGCGGUGGUCCGUUCCUCCGGAGGCGCCGCCGCGAUCGUAGUCUUCCCGGUGCUCCCUGGCGUUGUCCUGCAGGGCGCGUUGCGUCUCGCGCGCACCCGCUACUGCUUUCUUGACCUUGGUGGCCUCCCAAUUGAUCUUCGCUGCCUCCCUGUGUACACAGGAAGGGGAAUUAGGAUGGGGUUGGGCGUUGCCCUGAAGCAGGGGAUCGGGCAUCGGAGCGGACCAUGGCGAUGGAAUGGCGUGACGAAGCAGGGGGCUAGCGGCCGGCCGGAGCAAGUAGUGGCGCCGGCACUGCAGGGAUGGAAAUUUGGAUGGGGGAAGGGGGGCGAUGGAGUUGCGUGCUGGAGGAGGAGGGGGGCUAGCAGCCCAAAUAUAACGUCCAACAGAAGGCACCGGAACGAGACUGCCAGCGCAAGCGCUCUCGAAAGCUCCGGAGACACGCAUCUGCAUGCAUGUACACCACUGCAUGGCUCGCGCUGGCCAUCCCGCCGACCACCAACUCGCAUGCCAACGCCCUCAGAUCGAAAGGAAAUCGAACAAAUCAUCCAGAUCGGACAAAAACCGAAGAUAAACCGCCAACGCACGGUCGUGGAGCGUCGAGGGAGCGAACAACUCUCCGGCUUUAAGUUUGUAGAGUUAUAGACCGUUCAAUUCCAUUCCAUGUUGCCCUUUAACCAAACACUACAUGAAGGUGGUUGUAGAUCGUUCUUUGUCUAUACUUAUCUUCCGGUCUUUAACGGACAAUCGGUAACCGCUCUUUUGACGACGCACAAAACACCCAUUUUUUCAUUGAUUGCUAACCCCAGAAAGAGAAUUAAGCUAGAAUGAAGGGUAUCGACCCAAGAGUUAGGAGGGGAGAAGCUAGCAAGGCUCGUCACCUCACGGACAUCGGUUUGUAAUGCUCAAUUGAGGUUUUAACAAGUUCAGACAUCAGCUGAUAGCAAUCAUCCAGAAUGCUAGUAGCAAACAUCGCACGCUCGCUAGCAUUGGAAGAACGCAUGGUUUAUAUCUUCAUCUCUGGUUUGCAAAGGUGACACCGUGGGUUUACCUUUGUGUGUUUAUUAGCCAGACAGAGAGACACAUCAAUUUUCAAAGGAAAGUUUUUAACUUUUUGUAUGGAAAGAGAGACUCCAAAUUUUCUCCAAAUCGAGGACCACUCAUAAUCGAUGAGUUAUAUCUUCUUCCAUUGGAAUGUCGAAAAGAAAAGAAAACACCGUGCUAAACGGGCCACGCCGGUUCCGGCAACAGUCCAUCUCAAAUUCUCCAUGCCCAAGCCCAACGCGGCCUCAAUCCGAGCCCAACCAAACACACACUUGCGUGGAUCCCAUAGUUCUUGCGAUGCACGGUGGUCAGUGUGAGACGUUGUUCAAGUGGCAAAAGGUGGGGCCGUGGCUUCCUGGCUGCUUGUCGCCGUGCGCACCGGCCGCCCGCCCCACCUCCACCUCCAUCUUCCAUGGCAUCAUCCCCCCUAGGACCCCUUCCUCCCCUCACGCAACCACCUCCCGUCCCCGUCCAAGCUAGCGGCUAGCCUGCCCUUCGUGCUCCCCAAACCCUCUUCGCUCCCCGGCCCCGCCGCCGACGAGCGCCAUGUCCGCCCCUUCCACCUCAUUCCCUUCCACGGCCUCGUUGUUCCUCGCCAGCGGCAGGCUCCCGCGGUUCCAAUUCCAGUCCCUCCGCGCGCCCACCAAGCCCCCCUACCGCUUCCCCUCCCCUCCCUCUACGUGGCUCCGCGGCGGCUCGAGAACCCGCAUGCUCGCCCCCAUCUCCGCCUCCGCGCUGCCCCUGCAGGUGACGGCUGCUCCUCCGCCGGGAGUGGAUGACGCCGGACGGUUGGUGGCCGCGAGGCGGGUCGCAGUGGCGCUGGCGUGCGGCGCGCUGGCGGCGGCUUGGUGCCGCCGGGCGCUGGCCGUGGCUGCCUCCGCGGCGGGAGCGGGUCGGGGGGCGUCCGGGGCGGUGGAUGCAGCCGCUGGGAUGGGCUGGGCGGCGCUGCGAGGGAGCUGGCCCACGGUGCUGCAGAUUCUGCAGCUUCUCAGGGAGCAGGGUCUUGUUCUCGCCCUGUUGCUCGGCCUCUCUGCCUUCUUCUCUAUGGCCGAGACCUCCAUCACUACGCUCUGGCCCUGGAAGGUUCGUGCAUUGCAAGUACCUGGAAAUACAUUUUUAACUUUCAUGUUAGUACUUAUUAGUAUGUGGAAUUGGUUCUGACGAAUCAUAUAAUUACGGUCGUUUCGUAUGAAAUCAUCAUAUGCAAUCAAUCACUUCCUAUGGGGCAAGAUGGCUGGGGCCUGGCGAGGUAGCAAUUCUCUGGGAGAUAGUUAUGACGAUCGGGCAAUGCCCAUGCCAGGAGUGUCAUUGGCAGCCUUGGUUGGCAGCUGGGCAGGGUGUUGCCGUCUUGCAGAGUUGGGCUUAGGGGAUCAGCGAGGGCAUGCUUAUCGGCCUCUAAAAUUUAAAAGGGAAGCCUCCCUCAUAUAACUAACCAAUGAAUAAGAUGAUUAAAUAAACACUGCAGCAGGAUAAGCAUGAUAAUUAAUAAAAAAUAUCCCCAUUAGCCAUAUCCCUCUGAUGCACCAUCCAAACCCCAUUCCACCACCAGCCCAAAUCUGCAAACUGGCAUCACCCUGAGCAUACAACUGCUCCAUCCUGCUCCUCAUGAUUUAAAUUUAUUAUGUAAUUACCGCCAAAGCAGCACAAGUAUAGUGACACAUACAUGCCCAUGCCAGGAGUGUCAUUGGCAGCUGAGCAGGUUGUUGCAGUCUUGCAGAGUUGGUCUUAGGGGAUCAGUGUUUGCAUGCUUAUGGGCAUCUGUAUGCAUCACUACUUAUGCUGCUUUGGUGGUGAUUAGAUAAUUAAUUUGCAUCAUGACAAGCUGGAUGGAGGGGUUGUAUGAUCAGGGUGAUGCCAAUUUGCGGAGUUGGUCUUGGUGGUGGAACGAGAUUCAGAUGGUGCACCAGAGGGAUAUGGCUAAUGUUUCGGGGGUUAUCAAUUGUCAUGUUCAUCCUGCUGGUGUUUGUUUUAAAUUAAUUAUAAUCCUCAUCCUGCUGCAGUGUUUAUUUAAUUGUCUUAUUCAUUGGUUAGUUAUAUGAGGGAGGUAGCGCAUUAGAUUUUACCUUUUGGGGAUCAUGUGAGGAAUGUAACAUUUUGUAAGAAAAUGUGUUAUUGUCCCUGCGAAAGGUUGAUCCAUUCCAAGCAAUAUAUAGAUUCGUUCGCAUCCUAAUUCCAUCAAUUAUCUGUUGGAAUAUUUGAAACUGCAAUUUUUGCAACACUAUCUUGGUACAUUCGUAGUUUGGAAAAGAAAAAUCAGCUCACACAUUUUCCAUCCCUUAGUGGCAUAUUAGUAUAUGUUCAGCGUCAAAUUGGACCCCCCCCCCCCCCCCCGCAGCCCUGUUACCUUGUAAGAAUUAGUGAAAGUACAUUUUUGCCUUCCAGUUCAGGUCUAUCUAGAUCUUUUUUCCCCCAAAGAACUGUCUACAGAUCUUGAAUGUUAUUCAAUUAUCUUCUAAAAUCUCAACAAAGUAUGAAUGAAAAUUUCAUGUAGACAUGUAGCAUUUGUAAUUCAAGACUUUAAGCUUCGUGUUGCGUGCAAUCUUGUCUUUGGGUUUGAGUCCAAGGUUCAAGUUUAAUGCAUUGUCAUUUUGAGUUUAAUAUUUGGGCAUAAUUAGGUGUUAUGGUCAUGAGUUAGUGCCAGAAUCUCUCUCGAUCAGCACAUUAGGUCUAAAAGUUUGUUCCCAGCGGCUAAACGUUAAAGUGAGUAAUAAUACAGUCCUGAAUACCUAGCAAGAAACAUAGAAAGGCAAUUCUGUUGUGUACAAGUUUGUGGGCCGUCUCCUUUCGGAUCAAAUUGCAGUGUUAACUCAUUGUUUGUUGUGUUUUGGGUUUGAUAUGUAUCCAUUUGUUUCUUUUAUUUAUUAAUAGAAUGUUGUAAGAUGAUGGAUCUCUUCUGAUUUAAUAAGCAUAUUUUCUGAAAUUUUGCAAUCCGGUUCCGUCAGGUUCGUGAGCUGGCUGAAAAGGAACCUGAGAAUGGUGUUUUCAAAAUGCUCCGAAAUGAUGUCACUCGCUUCCUGACAACAAUACUCAUUGGCACAACGUAAUUUAUGGCUUUUCUGUGUUGUACACUGUUUCUUGCAAUAAUUUUUUCGUCCUCCUAAUUCUCUUCUUCCUCAUAUCCUGGAGAUACUUUUGAAAUAGUGUGGUCAACAUUGGUGCGACGGCCAUUGUUACUGAGGCGGCGACAGCAAUUUUUGGCGAAGCAGGUGUCAGUGCAGCAACAGGUGUCAUGACUGUAUGUCUUCUAUCUCAUACUGAGCCUUUUUACUUAAUGCUUAUCUGCUUACGCAAUGUGGAUUAUUCACUUUAACUGUGGAACCCUUCUGUUUGCAGGUUGCCGUUUUACUUCUUACAGAAAUCACUCCCAAAAGUGUUGCAGUUCAUAAUGCCACAGAGGUUGCUAGGUUUGUAGUCAGGUGAGUGUUGUAACUUACUGUUCAAAUACUGUUCUUAUUUCAUAGUACUUGAAUAUUACCAUUUUGUAUAUCAGACCGGUUGCAUGGCUUUCGCUUAUCCUGUAUCCAGUUGGGCGGAUUGUUACUAUUAUAUCUAUGGGAAUUCUAAAGCUUCUAGGCCUGAAAGGAAGAAGGUAGGGGCUUACAUAUUUUUAUUUUACACCCCUAGCUGUAACUACAUUGGAUACAAUUUUUGUAAGAGUAUGCAGUUCUGAAUCUUGUGCUUAUAUGCACUUAUUUGCCUCAGUGAACCAUUUGUUACUGAAGAUGAAUUGAAGUUAAUGCUACGUGGAGCAGAGUUGAGUGGUGCAAUUGCCGAAGACGAACAGGUUAGAUAGUUAAUAGUACGAGAUGUAGUAUUAUUCUUAUCUAUAUUUUUUCCUUAAUUUCUUGUAUCAUUCAAUGUCUAAGAAUCUUCAUUUACAUCUUUGUAUAAUUUUUUCUUGUGGUACAUAUGUUGUUUCUUUGAGAAAUGUAGGAUCUCUGCAUUAUUUGAACUGCUAUGUUAAAGCUUGCAUGUAACCACAUGUCCUGAGCACUUGGAUGAUGCCCAUAAUUAUUUUACUACUACUUCUGUUAAGAUGCUAGGAAGCAGAGCUUAAAACUUCAGUGUGAUGAGGAAAAAGCCAGCCCUGAUAACAACAGCACAAUGUACAUUAUGUAUCUUUCUUGUAGUAUGCUACACUAUUAUAAAUUUCUGAUUUAUCCCUGCUUGUGCAGGCCUAAUUCCUUCCUAUUUAUUCCUGAUUACUCAGUUCCGAGUCUUGUAACAGGAUAUGAUUGAGAAUGUACUGGAGAUUAAAGAUACACAUGUCAGGGAGGUAAUGACGCCUUUGGUGGAUGUAGUUGCAGUUGAUGCUACUGCAACACUGAUUGAUUUCAAAAACCUAUGGGAAACUCAUCAGUACUCUAGGUACUUCCAAGUCCCGCAACUGUGUCUUACUAUGUAUCUUCAUGACUUGUCAAUGACAUCUGCACCUACUUCCAGGGUUCCUGUAUUUGAGGAGCGUAUAGAUAAUAUUGUUGGAAUUGUAUAUGCGAUGGACAUGCUUGAAUAUGUUGAAGAGGUCUAUCUCUUGUUUACUACUUACAUUACAAGAUAAUCAGGUUAGUUCUUAUUUUGUCUGCACGAUAGUUUUCUGAAGAAUUGCCCAUUUUGUUUUUCAAGGUUGAGAAGUUGAAGGAAAUAACUGUGAAGGAAAUUGCACAUAUGCCAACAUACUUUGUCCCAGGUAAUUGUUUACCUGGCUGUUUAUUGUUUACAAUUUACUAAGGGGUUUGUUCAGACUGAAACAUGACUACAUAACUAAAUACUAUCUUCAGCAGGAAUCUCUUUGUCUUUUUUAAUAUUACUUUAUUGAAUGUUUUUAAAAUUUUAUAUGUUUAUGGCACUGAUUAUUUUUCUUCCUGCUGUUUUCCGCAUUGUCAUGGAUGUAAAGUAUGAUCGUUUUUCAUCUGGCAGAUUCUAUGUCUGUUUGGAACCUGCUAAGAGAGUUCCGGAUCAGGCAGGUUCAUAUGGCAGUUGUCCUCAAUGAAUAUGGUGGAACUAUUGGUGUACGUACAGAAACCCAUCCUUUAUACUCUUUGCAUUUACAACAUAAUCUGAACUCACUAUUUGUUAAUGAUCUAAUUUUGGGUUUGAUCCAAUAUGGUUUUGCUGUUCUAGAAAUAUAUUAAUUCAUCUGUCUUGCCACAGAAUCAGAAAUCCAACACCACUAACUCAACCAAAUUGAUUCCAAAAUUGCUAACUUGGUUCCUGGAAUUCAUUUCAUCUGGCACACUAUGUUGAUGAGUGAUUUGAUUCUUCCAGAUAAGGUCAUCUUUGUCUCGGUUAUGAUGAUUCUGUAAGGCCAUGUGUUUAGUGCAAAACUGUGCAUGAAAAGGCAGUUUGGAUGUACACCAAGAUGCUACAACAUGCUGCUUGGGUUCUGCUCGCCAUGGGUGGAUCCAGUGGGGGUGCCAGGGGCUAAAAAAUACUAAAUAACUUAGUUAAACCAGCAGCCUAGGGCCCAUUCAUGCGAACUAGCUAAUUAUCCUAACUUCAAGCUUACUAGGUAGUGCUCCUUGUCUUCGAAUAGAUCAAUUCUUCUGGUCUCUACUUCGUAGUCAUGUUUCUUUUAAGGACAAUAAGCACACCACAGACAGUAUAAUUCUUUGAUAUAUAACUUAUGGACUCACCUUAACGGCUCAACCAGUAGACAUCAGGAUGACUUAAAAUUCCAUAGAAAUUUUACUGGGUACCGAAGUAUUUCUAUAUGGCUGGUUUUUGGUACGGUGUCCCCGCGAUCCAGAGUUUUGGACUAGUGGUGGAGGGGCUGGCUGUGCCCAGUUAGCAUGUCAUUAGCACCCACGUGCCAAGCCUACGACAUCUUCCAAGGUCACAAGUUGCCUCAUGUCAACAUACAAUCUGCAGUGGCUCCUGGAAACUAGUGGUAUAGACUGGACUUCUAUAAUCUUCCAUCAGUUGUGUUGCACAACAUAGGAGAGUGUUGAAUUUCUUGUGGCACUCCAUCACCCUGGCCAUGCGCCUGAGGGAGAGGAGCCACCCAAGAGUUCCACUCAGUGUUGGCGACGAAGCUGCAUGUUUAAUAGGUCAGAGUUUCAGUGCAUGGAGAGAAGCUAUCCAUUCAGCCUUGAAGCGAUGCUAUUGGAGUCAGCUGUCACACAUUAGUUGGGAUUACGCACAGCGGCCUUCUCUGCCACUGGCUGUGCUGUCGAAGAAUUGGUUCCAACAAUUGAGUCACGACAAGGCUCUGGCUCCACCUCGCCAUUGUAGAUGGGAAACUCCAUCUGUUAGUAGCAUAUGAAGCUCUCAUUACCGGACUUAUGGAGGGAGAGUGGUUUGAGGUCAUCCAUCUGCAGGAUGCCAUCACUGGUGCAGCUGUCUGCCACUGAUGCUGGAUGUUCGCUGCUCCCAUUUCUCCAGCUUGAUGAUCGCGAGGUGGUGUGUGCCCUUCUGCUUGCGUAGGUCUCGCACGGUGUUGGUGAAGGUGUCUACAUUUUUGGUAGUACUCUGCUGGUCCUUGGUGAACAACUGUUGCAUUUGUGAUGAACGGCUCCCUUGUUUUUGCCAGCUGCUGCUCGAGCACUGGCGGAGCGUAAUGGAAGCUAAACUGGGCCACAAACCACCCUUUCAAAAGUGCAAAGCACAAAUGAAUAGGCAUGUUCAAGCCCAACUCACAACAAAUCAGCCCAAUCGUAAUGAAAGAAGUCAGAACGCCGGAAGCCACCACGCACGCACACAUGCUCGUCGCCAGCUUCUGUCUCGCAACGCAUGGACUCCUCUGCUGGUUAUGUUUUUCCAAUUCACAAAUCCCUAAUCCCUAAAAAGAAAUCCCAAAUCUCUGAUAGCGCCCUUGUUUCUGUCGACGUGAUCGGUUCCUCCUCUUCUCUGAGUUCUCUUUUCACUUCUCCAGUCCUGCUUCUCAAUCCCCUAUUCUCCUUCUCGGCUUGACAUUCUUCGGUUCGUUCUGGCUGACAUUCUUUGUUUCUUCCUGAUACUCUAGCAUUGGUGGUAUAUGUAAAUCAAAGGCUGUGCAACAAAAUGGAAGAUGAUUUUCUUGCAGAUGGAGUUGGUGUGAACAAGAUAAAUAUAUCAUCUUGACAUUCCCCUCUAAUUAUGUCUUAUAUUACUGGUAAUUUUUUCAUGCAUAUAGGUUUUGAUAUGGAGUUAGCCCCCUCUUAUUUUUGCUCACGCUCCGCCACUCUCGAGGGUCAUGGAUGUGAUAGUUCAUGGUGGCUGAUAACUAACUUGUCUCUGAUACCAAGAUGUCAAGUGGUGGGUGAUUUGUGGUGGAUUGGAUCGCAGGGGGAUAGCUGUGGUGUCUCUCCAGACAGACGUAGCCUUGGCCUCUACAGUGUGAUGUUGGGUUUUCCUACUGCGAUGGAGAAGAUAUGGAUAGUCUUGCUUGAUUCAUUCAUGCAAGAAGAUGAGAAGCAUCUCCCUAGGGGUUAAGCAAAUAACAAACCUUGAUAUAUAUCUCUAUAGGCUCUAAAAGUUCCUACCUUCAGGUGAUCUUUAUCCCUAUGCUGCGCACCCCUCAUGUGGCGGCCAUAGGCAUGGCCUGGCAUGACGUCAUCUCUUAUACAGUUAGGUUCUGUGUUAUUUAGGACAACAGAUGACUAACUUAUCCUUAGUUCCUUCUCUAGUUCUAUUAGGUCGCUUUGCCAUUUCCUAUUGCUGCACGGUACUUCCUUUUGCUGUGCAUGCCACUGAGCCCUCGUGGUGUUAAUUUAUAGUUUUAUACACACAGCCCAUGUGACAUUUAUUCCAUCUUUCUAGAAAAAUGAGAAAACUAGAAUAAGAAAGUUAAAAAGCCUUUCUAUCUGUAUAUUUGGUGCCCCACAACUCCAAUGAUCUUUAUUAUUUAGUUUCACACCUUUUUCUAUAAAGACUUCAAAUUAGAUGAAUAAUUAUUCUAAUUCUAAUUUUUAUGCACAAUCGACAAGAUAUCUCCUGACUAGUGCGCACCCAUAGAAGCUGUAAAAUGUUUUGACCACUCUAGUACUGUAGUACAUCUUGGAACUUUUGCUUGCACAUGUAGUUAGGCUGGAAACUAAAGCAUCCUGUUGGAGUGACUAUAACAUACUGUCUUAUGAAAACUUUGACCAAAAUAGCUUCUAAUUCCAUUUAUCCUCUCACAUAGAUCUUACUUUGGGCGUUCUUACUAUAACAAUUGCAGAUCGUGACAUUAGAAGAUGUGGUGGAAGAAAUCGUUGGUGAAAUCUUCGACGAGAAUGAUUCGAAGGUGAUUAUUUUAGGAACUUUUCAAUCCGAUCUGUGAAUUUAGUGUUCAGUGUCUUUUUUUCUUCCUGCUAUUAUAUGUGCCUUUUUUUUACAUACUUAUGGAUAUGGAAAUGGUGAAAGGCAGUAAUACAUUUUUUUGUUUAUAUUUCUUUUCUCCUUGUAUUUAUAUUUUAUUAAGAGGUGACAUUUCAUGUUGACUGAGGAAUUUUAAUCAGUAGAUUGACUGUACUGUCAGGGUAAUUACAGUAAAGAAGAGAGCCACGAUGCCAUGGCUUGAAGGGCAUGAGAUACUAGGGGUGUGUCUGGGACAGCUCCAGCUCCACAGAUUUGGUGGAGCUGGUCAUUCAACGCUCCACUUUUUCGUGGAGCUGGAGCUGAGAGGACUUUGAAAAUGUUUAGUAGUCUUGUCUUGUUGCAUUCCCGAAUUAAUCACAGCUCCAACUCCACUAAAAAGUUUUUAUCUCAUCAAAAGUGAAGCAAUGAAUGCCAGGACGCCAUGGCUUGAAGGGGAUGAGAUACUGGAGCCAUAGCUGACACCACAGUUUUAAAUAGCACGCUUUAGCUGCGGUAGCCGUCUUAUGCAGGGCACAGCGAUGUAGGCUAUAGCUAGCUUUAGCAUCAAUUUUUGGACCGCCGUUAAAUGGCUGAGCGCACUAUUUAAAACUUUGGCUGACACCGACUAGGACUAAGUUGACAUUAACUUGUUAUUAAGACCGGCAGGAUUCAAUAUCCUGACUUUUCUGUUGCUGGAAUCGGCCAAGUCGAACUGGUUUUGCAUGUCUUGGUGGAUAACUCACAGCACGUCUUUUUUCAUCAUCAAGGAAACUAGGAGCUUUGUUAGUCUCUCAUUUCCUUAUGCUACUAAUUUACCCUUGCAGGAGGAAAUCCAGAAGAAAACAGGUAAUAUAGUAAUGCUGGAAGAUGGAACUUUUUAUGUUGAUGCAAACACAUCAAUAGAUGAUCUAUCUGAAGAGCUUGGUGUUAAAAUACCAGAGGUAUAUUCCUCAUUGAUCAUAGCAGCUUCUACAUGCUCCAUUGAGUGCUGAGAUUAGUCCAUGCCAUAUUAAAGACCUGCUCUUGUGUUUGUUUAUGUCAAUACUUUUUAGAUGCCAUUCUCUUUUAAAUCAUAGCUGUUACUUCCAAGGGUUAAAUUAAAUGCCAUGUAUUUCACUGUGAGACGCUGGGUUUGGAGAUGUGGAACACAUGCUGAGCUCUGGUCUGGGAUCUGGUAUAGAAAUAAGCAAGUUGUAAUUCCGAGGGUAUGCACCGUAGAGGUAUUACAGUUUGUUCUAGCAGGUGCAGGAAGCACCACAGCAAUGUGUUGGUCACUUCAUCUUCCCUCACUGGUUCACGAGCGAUGCUGAUCGCAGUAUGCACAUGUGCUAGCCCCACAACAAGGUCGGAGCCUGAUGCGGCAGCAUCCAAGCCCUUUGCUCCAUAUUUGGAGCUGUAUCAGCACGUACAAAAGAGGCUUAUCUGUCCCAAACCAGGGGUCGCCAGUGGAUCACCACUGGGGAAGCAUUUGGUAGGGAGCUAGGGUUUUGAUCGGGCAUGAGCAAUCAUGGGCUUUGAUACCAUGUCAAAUAGAAAGCUUGUACUGUGUAGUGGGCCCAAAUGGGCUGAUAUGCAAGAGCUAUACAGAAUGAAGGAAACUUAAAAGCCGUAUGGAAGAGACUAAUAGGAAAUCAUAUCAUUUGUGCAUGAUUUCAUGUCGUUUUGAAGGUUAUUCAGAUGCACCUAUGCUAAUGAUUAAUGGUUAAUUGAUAGUAUAUGCAGUAAAAUCAUUUGACUCAUGCUAAGUAAUGGAACUUCCUAGAUUGUGAAGUCUAAAAAGAAGUGGAGAUCUAUUCCUCCUUGAUUGGCACUUCAGUGAUUUGGUUUUUUCUGAUGAUUCCUGCAUAAAGCAUCUGCCAACCUUAGAAAAGUCUGGAACUUGAACUAUAUUGUAGAAAAGGUUUUAAUGGCAAAUGUUCCUGGCAAUCAUCAUAUGCUGCUGUGUAGUUCAGUUAUGAUAAUUUCUUUUUGGAUUGACUGAAGUCAUGAAGUGCAUGGAAAUACGUCUAUUUGCAGGGCCAUCAAUAUGAGACUGUGUCUGGUUUUGUUUGUGAAUCCUUCGGGUAUAUACCAGAAGAAGGUGGGAAAAUGCUUGUCAUACUUGAAAGGGACAAAAGAGAAGAAAAUGAUGAAUAUCAGGACGAAGGAUCUGAUCACCAAGAUGACCGAGAAAGAACUCAAGCUUAUGAACUCGAGGUAAUUGUGACAAUACUUUGCUUACAUUUUUUUAUAGAGCAAGAUCUUGCACCAGUUCUUUGCUACCACAAUGAUCUAGUAUUCCGAGCUUUCAUUGUUUUCACUAGAAAAGACCCCACUAGAAAUUUACUCACUUUAGUUGCAUGAACCCAGUUAAAAUGUAUAAUUUCAGAAGGACCAGAAUGGUCACAUUGGCCAAGAUUUUAUCACACAAAAAUGCCUAUUACUCAAACCUAUCAUCUGACAUCAGUCUAGGUGCUUGACUGUGCAAAAGUUACUGAAACAUAUUCAUGAACGCAAAUGCCUGUCGUUUGUGCAUCUUUGCUGUAUCUGUGCCAUUUGUAUAAUUGUAUUGCAUUAUGCCUGUAAAUAUCGUGUCGCUGUAUAUGGUGUAUGUUUGAUGAUUUGGUUCAUUUGUUUAUUUUGUUUCCAUUUAUCAUUUCAAAAAUAGAAAACUGAUGUUGAAUAAUCAGCAAUAGAGCAAUGACAUGUUAGUUUGGCUCAGCUCAUUUUAAGUAAUGGAGCAACCUAAUGUUAGUUUGGCUCAGUUCAUUUUAAUUUUUGAAUUUAAACUGUAAGAGAUGCACGAUUGCAUUCCGACAAUAUAUAGAUACAUAUAUUAAUUUUAGCAAGGUGAGGCACCGGAAUGCGACCUUCGGGGAUCAAACUCUGGUGGGCAGACAACAUACCUCGCUGGGCUGACUACCCAAGCUAAGCUUGGUUCUCCUCAGUUUAUUUUAAUUGCAUUUGGUGGAGUAUCCCAGUGCCUUGCUACUUGUAAUUCGGAUUUUCAGCUGCCAAUGAAAUGAUAUGUUUAUUAUAUACUUCAGGUAUAGUGGAAAUUAGCUAGAAACUGGACGUUCCUAUCUAGUUAUUGGAAAGCGGCCCAGAUCUUGGAAACAACCUACUUCUAGGUUUUGUAGCCUUGCACUCUUCCCCAAUAUAAAUUUGUAGUAAAAUGACUAAUUCUCUGAUGCAUGAAUGAAAGAAAGAUACUGUAUUAUAAUGCUAAGUUUCAAUUAUAUUGGAGUAUCAAAAUUAGGAGCAAAACAUUAUAAAUUAUCUUUCAUGUCUUCAGUAGCUUUUGGAGUGAGAUGUAACAUAGUAACCAAACUACACCUAUAUUCACAUAACUAACAGAGAUAAACACAACAGUAACGCAAAAUGAUGGAUGCUGAAUUGCUGAUACUUGUUAUCGCUUGUCUUUCUUUUUUCCUUUUCUUCUCAAGGAGUUUUAAUCUUUCAUGUCAUACCAGAAAAUAUUAACCAUGCAAUAUAUCGAUAUUGAGAAUCUACUUCUUCAAGUUGUGUUUAAGCCUCAUUCAAAACCACACGAUGAAUAGCUCACAUCCUUGGUUUGGCUGUUGGCACCCAAUGUUUUUUCAUGAGCAUGCCACUCCCAAAGUUUCUUAUACAGUUUAAUUCAGUUGUAUCAGCAGCUAUUCAGUUAUGAUGAAUCGAUAGUUUGUGCUUAUAUUCUAAAUGAGCGGCAUUUAUGUAUUUUAAGCUGUUUUUACUAUGUUUCUGAUUAUUUGCUAAACUGCUCUUCUGAAUGUCUCAAUUACAUGCAGAUACUCGAAGCUAAUGCAAGAAAGGUCAGCAAAGUCAGUUUCAAGCCAAUAAGCAGCGAAUGUGUAGACGUUGACAACAAGGGUGUGAACAAGCUGAUGUCAAAAAAGAUUAUCAAACGAAAGAAAAAGGACUCUGGUGAUUCUUCCGAUAGUGAUGAUGACGACGUGUGUCCUGAUAUAACAGAAAAUGGUUGCCCUGCAGAGCUAGUUUCAUACUCGAAUGAUAAGAGUGCCGAACUGGAAGAUGCUGGCAGCUCUACCGCGACAAGGUGACAAAGAAAACAACCAGCACCAUUGUACUACAGGCAAUAAUUACAGCUCACCACCCUCCUGCCCCUUGUUACAAUUACAACCAAAGAAAAGAGAAGAGGAUCAUAGUAGGCUACCAAAAACAGCGAUAGUAACACUGAGGAGACCGAGAAGGCUAGCAGCACAACAGCUUAGGACAGCAUUUCUAAGUAGCAGUAGUAGUAAUCUAGAGGUGCAGUGAGGUGUCGACAUCAACUUCACCGGAGGCCUUACUGGGCCACAGGUCCAUUGCAAGGGAAUCGCCGUGGAGCUGGAUGGUUUUACACUCACAAGCUGCGGUUGCCGGCACCACUGGAAAUAAGGCAGCGGUGCCACCCAGAGGCCUGCAUGGGUACAACAGCUCCGGGUGGAAGAACCAUCUGACCGGCGCCUCCCUUGGAGCAGCAGCGGCGGCGGCGUUACCGCUGACACCCUGAAGGAGUUCGGCUUCACGGGGAGUGAGAAUCUGUAGAAGUCUCACCUCCCGCUUCUCCUUGAUCCUCUCCAGCUCUCUGAACCUCUGCUGCAGCAGCGCGAUGGAGGAGAACAUCACCGUGCCUUCGUUGCUCUGCAUCCCCAUUGAUGAUGAUUGACGAAGAGAGCUGUGAUGAUUGACUACUCUUUGAGUUUGAGUUUUGGUUUUCGUUUGUCUGUCUGUCUAACUUGCUUCCUGGGUGCGUGUGGGGCUCGUUGUCGAGGGGUGCUGAUGGUAGUGGAGGUGGAGCAUGUGCGUAUUUAUAAGCAGCAAGUUUUUGUCCCGAUGCAGCUCGUCCUCUUAUGGUCGUGUUGCAAGUUGGUUUAAUUCUUCCUUCCAUUAUUUGAUGCUAUGUUAUGGGAUGGUACAGAAAAAUACUCUAUACUAGGUGGGAGAAUCUGGGAGGGGAGAAUGUCACGUUGCCCGAGAAAGAGAGCCGAGACGUGCAGCAGGUGAGAGAAGGGUACGUGGGAGAGUCCAAGGAAACUGGCAUUGGACGCUUGCUGUUGUGCGGUUUCCGUAGGUGGGAAUCGUGUCGUGGGGGUGGGCAUGAUUGUGCCCUGUCUGUCUCCUCCCUCGGUUUUUCCCUUUCCCGUCCUCUCUGCUGUCCUGGUGCAGUGCUGCAUGCUGCAGCAAGGGGAGACGGUGUGCUGCUGCUCUGAGCUUCUUUUCUCGCCUUUUCUUUCUCUAAACACUGCUCUAAUCGUCUAAACAGCCAGAUGGAUGCAUGGGAAAAACAAAUACUCUUCCCUCCACCUAUUACUACAGGUUAUUGCUGAGGUCAAAAUACCCAAACUCUAACCCGUCGGAUGUCUGCAGCACCAAGCAUUAUUUCGCCCCCUAAAAGAGAAGCAGCAUUAUUUGACUUGAGCUUCUUUGGAGGUCCGGUGAUUGGACUUUAUUUUUAUAUUUUUCAUGGUGUUCUUUGAAUUGUAACUCCCCUAGGUUUUAGCAUGCGUUUGAAGGUUUUGAUUGCUGGGGAACACGGUCAAUGGAUCAUGAGAUUAUCACUCGACGUGCAAACCCUUGUGGAAGUUAAAUCCAUGUAGCGUGUCCAUACCGAGUAGACGACCAACAUGCUCCUCACAGAUUCCGGUACAAUAAAAAUUCGGGUACAAGUUUGAGUGUUAUUUCUAGUCAAUGAUGAUUUUGAGUGUUAUUUCUAAUCCAAUAAAAAUUGAAUUGUUGCAUAUCUUAAAAUUUGUGUACAAGUAAAGGUUUACAAAUACAAAGUCACAAUUAUCUGUACUCCCUCCGUGUUUUUAUUGAGGGCGUCAAAAUUUUCACCCGAAUUUCUAAACAUAAGGCGCGCAACUGUGCGUCUGCGCGCUGGCGUGAUUUGCGAAUUAUCUACUCAUCCACGCGAUUUGGUUGCUUACUGAAAAGUUGCAUCUGUCGUGGAGUUUUGUUGCAUGCAUGCAUGCUCACGGGGCAUCGAUGAAUGGUCCAGUUUUUUUUUCUUGCACAACUGCAUGCGGCAGUUGAGAUCGAUCGUGUGUGCUCCCGAAUGUGUAUGCGGCAGCUACUUAAGUUGCAAGAUGUGUGCAACUUGAUCGGCCGGUUUUGAAAAAAACUAAUUUUCAACCCACAGAAAAGAAGUGUUAUUCAGUUCCGACUAGCGGAGAUGGUUCUAACCGUACGUACGUACGUACGUGUCUAAUUUACAUGGUCCAUUUUUAACCUUGCACGUCGCUUCCGUUCCCUGGCUCCAACACGAUAGUGGCUCUUCUCUGUUAUCUUUGCAUGGAACAACGUGUGGAGUCAAUAACAAUCGAACAGCUAGUAAUAAUCUACUAGUAAUGCCCAAGAACAACGCGAAGAGAGCGAGGGAGAAAAACUAAUUUAAUCAGAGAGAGAGAAAGAGAGUGUGGGUAUGUGUUGAAGUGGCCGAGAAGGAAGAUCAGUAUGGGGCAGUAAUUUAUGGGCGGCUCGAUGAACAUUCCCUUGUCGUGGACUGGAUGGACGCAAAUGGCAUGCGUGCACCUGCCAGAGCAUUUCUCGCGUGCCCUCUCACGUCUCGAUCACCCGCGCACUGCAUGCCGGCCGUUGUGAACCUAUGCCGUGUGCAUGCAUAUAUGUCGUUGUGGUUUGGGUGUGUGCUCCCUAAAAGCACAGCUCCCUCUCUCGUGCAUGCCUUUAUCUCUUUCUUUCUUUCUUCUCUUUUCGUCCCUCGCUUUCUCUUCUUUCCUCUUGUUUCCUAUCGUCUUUUCAUCUUCCUUUCACGGACACUACUGUCUCCGGUAGAAACGCUAGCUAGAGGACGAAGAAAAAGCAGCAAAGAGAUGGAAAUUAAUGGAUCCAUCUCUGUGCGCAUAUCUUUCUGUCUCUCAUGUAUUUGACCAUGACGAGAUAGAGCCGAGAAAGGUAGUAAAAGAAAACAUAAACCUGUAAAGAUCGAGUGAAAAGAAAAUUACAUACUCCGUACAUACUUAAUCAUCACAAGUUAUACAGUUAUAUGCCUGAUCCAUAUGCAAUUUGUUACUACACUGGAUAGCACGUACGCAUAUAUAGUUUCGCGCAUGCUGAUCAGUACUGUACCAGGAUGUGAGUUCCUAUAUAUAAUUACCCUAUCGAUCGUACGCUUCCUGCACAUGUCGUACACAAAGUAAGGCAUAAAUAUAUAUAGUAAUUUUUUAAAUUUUAUUUAACCGGCCGGCCAAAAGCUAGCUAGCUUGUUGCUUUAUUAUAAAGUGAAAGGUGAUGGAUAGUUUGUUCAAGGCUCGAGGAGGAUGCAUGAUGUGUGUGUAAUUGGUGGGGACUGGCGACUACCUAGGAAUUGCUUGCAAGGCGCUAAUUGAUGGAUGGAUGGAUUGAUCGAUAGACCGGACUAGAUAAAAAUGUGGCACGUAGGGCUUGGUGCUAGCGUUGCACCAUGGGAUGCUUCUGCGUGUGGCACUGUACAUGUGAGACAGCUCGAUGUGGACGCUCCGCAAUCUGCCCAAAUGUAUAUCAUAUCUAUCUCAACCGUUAGCUCAUGGCGCAUUAGGUUCUCUUUUCCAUCGUGUGUGUCCUACGUACUUGGCAGGUACGGCGCUGUUUCUUUGACCAUGCAUGCAUGGACGUACGUGUAUGUGCAAUCCCAGAGCUUGUCCUGUUUCUUCUGAUCAUUAGCUAGCGAGCGCCUUCUUACGAGUUACGAACUACUGUUACUCCCUUAUUUUCAGGAUUUAUAAGACUCGAUCACUCGUAUUCCAUAUUUCAGGAUUUAACUUUGAUAUAAUUAUGCCCUAAAAAAACUUUGAUAUAAUUAUUAGACAACUGAUAUAUGUUUGUAAUUAAAAUUAUUUAACUGGAAAUUUCGCUGUUUGUGGAUUCAAUAAUAUAACUUUUUGUGGCACCACUCAUAUAUAUUUUGUUGCUCAAUUGCCGUUUAAAAUAAAUAUCAAAAGAAGUAUGCUUCGGUACACCCCUCCUUCCAGAAUUAAAAAGGUACCUACUUUUAAUUCCGUUUCUACAUAUUAGUUAGGAUAGCCCACUAGCUAAAACCCAUAUCCAAGCCCCGUAUCUGGGUCGAUACCCAUACCCAACUCUCCCGUUCGCUGAGGGCUUGGCUUUCUUCUUCUUCCUCCAUGGGCUAUCGCCACAGCCACAUUGCAGCAAGCACUGAUGGCAGAUAUGAGGGUGGCCUGACUCCGUUCACUUAGUCCGAUCUGGAGCUCCGGGCGCCAUCCCUUCCCCACGAGUAAUUAAUAAGAGAUCUACGUUUACUCAACCAAGGCCUGAUGCAUACAACUUGAUCUUGAUAUGGUAGAAAAAAUAGUUGGUGCUGACUUAGAAUUCAUGGAUUAGCAUUUAAUAAGUAUGGUACUAGAACAUACAUAGACAAGAAUAUAUUUUGGGAUUGAGCUUAACUACUCCAAGUUCCCUUGUUUGAGUUGCUAGAGUAAGGUGCUCAUCCUCACCACGAGUAUCACUUGAAUCAUCACUUGCUACUUUGACUCUAGCCGAUCCUACAAAUUAGUAGAAUAAUAGUAAGUGAUACCAUUACGUAUUUUGUUGGAGCUAAAUCUCUCAACUCACACAAGAAACGGAAAGCAAGAUUUUUGGCCUCGAGCUGCCUCUCACAGCCGAGCUUUUCUCUCCUUCUAUUCCUCUUUCUUGUUACCAAAACAACCGAGAUUACAAUGCCUUAUAUUAUAAGCCAGCAAAAACGGCUCGGCUCGGCUCGGUCCAGCUCGUCACGAGCUCGCCUCCGCUGAGCCGAGCCUGGCUCGGCCCGAAAUUCCGGCGAGCCGUUUUUGCUGGCUCGGCUGGGCAGGCACGCAGCUCGGGCUGGCUCGGCGAGCUGGAGGGUAGAGGUGUACGGAGGCAGGCGGGAGAUCCGGCGACGGAGUCGUAGACGAUGUGGUACGACCAGAGAAGGUUCCCAUCGAGCUCCACGGCCCCGUCGUCUACUUCUGCGACCUCGUCGUCGUCUUCUACCUCUGCGACCCUGUCGUCGUCUACCUCCACGGCCCCGUCGUUGCCAGCGAGGGGCGAGAACAGGCCGAGGUCGACAAGGAGAGACCGGCGUUGGCAUGAUUGAAGGCGGCGGCGCAGCAUCAUGGCGGCCAUAUGGCCGAUGCGGGCAAGAGAUGAGCCGCCCAGCACCUGCUCCUAGCGGCUAGCACGAGCACGUUGUCCAUGGCGGCGGCCGACGGGAGUUGUGCAGCGGCGGCGGACCAGGAGAGUCGUGGGAGAGAGACGAGGCUGAGACAGAUCGAGGAAUCGUUCACGUCGCCCUAAUUCCCCUCGGCCUUGGGCAGUUGCGUCGUGGGCUUCGCCAUGGGCUUCGAAAUAUUGGGCUGGGCUGCCACUGUAGCUCUCGAGCCAGCAGCCCGAGGGCAAAACGAGCCCAUUUUCGAAGCUCGGCUUGAGCUGAAAGUGAAGCAGGCUCGGGCCGAGCUGGCCCGGCUCGUCAUGGGCUCGGUCCAGCUCGCCGAGCCCAGCUCGUAUGUCCAGCCUGAGACCGAACCAGCACCCGAGUCUGGACUGAACCGGGCCAGUUCGCGACCAAGGUCCACGUGGCAUGCCACGUCAGCCCGAAAGGUGGGGCCUGUCGGUAAGAAAACAUUGGGUUAGGGAGAAAAAUACUAAAAGGGGUAAUUAGUGGCAAAUGUUUGCUUAAAUGGGGUAGAAUUUUAGAAAUUCUCUUAAAUGGGGUAGAUUGUGUCAAGAAAAUGAAGAGAGGAGGUAAAAAAUGGACUUUACUCAAAGGUUUUUCCUUGGCUAUGGAUAAAAGGGAGGAUUAAAGUGAGAACGGUGCUUAGGAGAAAGCAGAUUAUUGCCACUGAUGAAUGUCCUUUUGGCUGCAAUGCAAGUGAAUCUCCGACUCAUCUCGGCUGGUUUUUCCACGUUCUAUCUUACUCUUUCAAUUGUUGGGGAUUAAUACUGUGGGUGCAUAACACUUGCGCCUCCUGACAAGAUGGCUGCUUGGGAGACUGUUUUUUUUUGGAACGAAGUCAGGAGGGGAGACCCCUACCUGAAUUUUGAUUAAAAGGAGCCUGAGGCUCAAAGUUGCAAAGCGCCUGAAACCGGCAAAAGUGAAAAUAAUUACAAGGCAGGACAGAGCAAACACAAGGAAGCAAAGGAGAAAGAAAAAAAUUGGUAUUUAAUCAGGCCAAUCUUCAAUCCAGCGGUUGAUCGCCUGUUUUUCCUUGUUCUUCAAAGUUGGGAGACUGUUGCUGCUGCUAUUCUUUAGAAUAUUUGGCUUGCCCGAAAUCACAAGGUUUUUGAUGAUGGCAACAUUCCCGUGUCUAUCUUGGGAAGCAAUGUUCAGAGACAUUGAAGCUAUGGUCUCAUCGUUUAAAAGGCAAGUAGAGGUUAGCUGCUCGUCGGUGGAUAUAAGAUUGGCCUGCAUAGUUCCUUUCUUCUUGUUCUUCUUUUCUUUUCCUACAAACUUGUGGUACUUAAUUAUAAAAUUUGGCUGUUGUAAUCCUCCUGGGACUUGUACUGUUUGGAACUCCUUGGUUCCGUUUUUAUAAAAAUUAGGUAGGGGUCUCCCCUCCCGACUUCGCUAAAAACAAAGGUUCCAAAUCUGGGCGGUGUUACAUAUCGGAGCGAUUAGAAGCUUGAACUUCUCAUCCGGCGGCAAGCGUCGUCACGGUCCAAACUGAAUCCGUGCUGUGGGAGGAUAGUACUCUUAGGCCCAGUGCUGGAAAAUGGGCAGAGAAGAAAACGUACUCCGUAAUAAGGCUUAACUAGUCCGUCUCUGGUCUCUUGGCCCAAAUACUCGAGCUGAACACCUCUCUUUUUUUUUCUCGGGGCUUUGAAACUUCAGAUGUGGCCUCUCAAAUAUGCUCCAAAAAAAUGUUGCCUCUAAAAAAAAUGAAACUUCAGAUUUGGAUUCGUAUCUCCAUGAAUAAAAAUUUGAAUCCAAAUGCUUUGAGAUAAUUUGCAUGCCAACCUGUUUUUACAUGACUCCAUUUCUUUAUCUGACAACCAUUAUUCAGGCAUUCGCGGACGACACCACAGUCACAGAUACAAUUUGGGCGAAACACUAAGAUCAGACUUUCCUUGAACUCACACGAGAAAACACGCGGGGCACUAAGGCCAGUCCGCCACCACCCUUAAUACCAUGGCUGGAAGCCUGGAACCGGAGAAGUAAGAAUGGUGUUUGCUUGAGAGGAGGAUGCCGGCGCUAUGGCCUGGUUUGACAGCUUGUCGUGUCAUGUGGGCGCAAUCGCGCGUGCAUGUGUAGUUGACAACUUGAAUUAGCGGAACACAUCGACACACCGUGCUCUGGUACGAUCAGUGGAUGAUUGGAUUGACUAAUGGUACACACGAUUCACGAUUCUUCCGUCAUUCAUUCACUCGUGCACCUCAUGCUUAAUUACAUUGCGCGGGGUUCACUCCACCAUGGUACAAAUCAACACAUAACUAGACAAAGGUACAAGUUGAUCUACGGCGUACAAGUACACAUGCAUGCAUAUAUCGAUCGUCCGAUGGAUGGACCGAUAUAUACUACAGCUAGCUGCUAAUUCUCAUUUAGCUCCCGGGGGCGAAGUUGGUAGCAAAGGCCCAUGCAUUGUUGUUGACUGGGUCGGCGACGUGGUCGAAGAGGUUCUCGACGGGUCCCUUGCCCGUGACGAUGGCCUGCACGAAGAAUCCAAACAUGGAGAACAUGGCGAGGCGGCCGUUCUUGAGCUCCUUGACCUUGAGCUCAGCGGCGGUGUCUGGGUCGUCGGCGAGACCGAGGGGGUCAAAGGCGCCACCGGGGUAGAUCUUGUCGAGCCCCUCACCGAGAGGGCCUCCACCAACACGGUAACCCUCGAUGAAGCCCAUGAGCACAACUUGGCAUGCCCAAAUGGCGAGGAUGCUCUGCGCGUGCACGAGGUUAGGGUUGCCCAGGUAGUCCAGGCCGCCCUCGGAGAAGAUCUGCGAGCCGGCCUUGAACCACACCGCCUCGCCGAACUUGACACCAUUCUUGGAGAGGAUCUCCGGGAACACGCACCCGAGCGCGCCAAGCAUCGCCCAACGAGAGUGGAUCACCUCGAGCUCCCUGUUCUUGGCGAACGUCUCUGGGUCAGCUGACAACCCCGCGGUGUCCCAGCCGUAGUCACCGGGGAACUCGCCGGUCAGGUACGACGGCGUCUGCUCGGAGAACGGGCCCAGGUACUUGGGACGGUCAGGGCCGUACCUAUAUAUACACGCACGGUCAUUUCAUCACCAUUAAUUUCAUUCAGGCGAAGCCAAUUGCGCGGUACUUGAUGCAUGUAGUACAUAGAAAUGUAGCUUUGGACGAAGAAAAAGAUAUACUUACCAGAUGCUCUGGGGUGCGCUCUUGACAGUCCGGCGCAUGGUGAUGCGGCCGCCGAAGUCGCCGACGCUGCGGACGAGGUCAUCGCGGCGUGGGGCGGUGCCGAGGAAGCUGGUGGUCUGGUGCAGCGCCGACGCGGCCAUUUCGAUCCCAAUUCAAGUGGUAAGGUCAGUGAGAGAUGAGCUGGUGGCUGGUGUUGUUUGAGUGAGGAUGCCCGGCUCGGGGAGGUGGAUCUUUAUACGGCGCCUGAGAGGCGCGGGGCGAAGCUGGUGGACGCGCGGCGAGACACGUCCCCGCGACCCAAUUGGCUGCUGCUUCGCCUCUGGAUAUGGCGCGGUAUCCAUCCCCCUCCACGCGACCACUCGUCGGCCGCCACCUGGAGCCCAAGAUCGCAUCGCCCACAUCCUACACUAUCCCGACCAUAUAUGCACAUAUGUGCUCUGUUUCAUUUUAUCACGGUACAAUACUUGCCUAGAUCCGGUGAAACCGUGACAAAAUCAAACGACACCACCCACCAGUUUUCAUCUCACUGAUCGACCUGGUGAUGCGAGGUGAUUGAACCUCUCGCAGAUGUUCUUACCUUGCUCCGCUGGAUAAAGAUAUUACGGUUUUGUUAGUUCUAGGUUGUCAGAUUUUUAGUUAGAGAUAAGUUGAUUUUUCGGCCGUUGGAUAUGAUUUGUGCUUUAAAAUUUGCAAAGGAUGAUGAAAAAAAAAAGAUUUUUUACACUGGAUCAUACUGCUCCUCUUAUCCCAUCCGUCCGCUGUGCCUCGAGAUUCGUGCCCGACACCACAUAGUGAAAACUGCCUUCUGACUGCUGCUGAGUCCCACUCCUCAUUUUCCUUCUUCCCCAACCUCAAGCGCCUCUCUCUCUCUCUGCCCCUCUCUCUCUCUCCCCCCCAUGGUGCUGCUCCAUGUUAGGCGUCUCUCUCUCCUCUCCAUGGUGCUGCAUUGCCGCUCCAUGUUUUCACGCCUCUCUCUCCUCUCCAUGGUGAUGCUCUCUCUCUCUCUCUCUCCUAUCCAUGGCGCUGCACCAGUGGCUGCGGCGGCGACGGCACGGCCAUGUGUUGGAGGCGGCAGCAGGCGGUGCGCAUGUGGUGGCGAUAGCGGCCAACAUCGUGCCAUGUGCUUUUGGCGAGCCAGUUUUUUUCUUCGGCACACUAUAGAAGAGGCCAAGAGGGAGUGGUGUGCUCGAGACUCAAGAGUGACUGAAGCUUUCCCUGAAAAAAGAGAGCAAAGUGAGAUCUAAAUAUUAAUCUAAUGGCUCUGAUUCGUCAACUUAGAUCUAAGCCUUUUUUGCUUAAAUCAGGCAAAUUAGAUAUAGCAACGUCCGAUCUAAACCGUCUAAUUUCUUUUGAGUAUAAUGUGUGUUUUUGUUUGGCUUCAGUUUCAUUGUUCCAUGCGAUUUGGUUAAUUUUUUUAUACCAAAAAAGAGAGAUUUGGCUAAUUUUAACCUGAAGAUUGGUGGAUACUGAGCAUCUCCAAUGGGGUCUCCCAAAAGCUAUCCCAAAUGUCUCUUUGGGGGAUAUGGAUAUUUUGUUCUCAAAAUCAUUCCCGAAUGGCAUCCCCAAAACGGACAAAAUUUCCUCUUUGUCCGUCCCCAUCCUCAAAUUGGCCCCAAAUUUGGGGAGGUUUGGGGUGUCCGGAGACCGGACACACACUCACUUCUUAUCCGGCCCGAUCUCACAAAAAGCAGAGAUUCCAGUCCUUCUUCCUCUCCCUCUCUCUCUCUCUCUCUCUCUCCCCCCUCCGCACAUAGUGGAGCCGGAAGAAGUCAUGUGUUGCAUGCGAAUAAUGACAGAGGUCAUGUGCUGCAUGCGAAUUCAAAGACUAUGUGCUGAAGGAACCAGUCAUGCGCUGACACAUGGCAUCUUAUACCAUAUACCAAUAAAAUAUAUCAUAUAUCAUUUACUGACACCAUGUAUUGAACCACAUACAUUGACUGAUAUCAUAUAUCAUUGACUAAUACCAAGGAAAAUAUCAUUCACAUAGCAUAUACCAAUCCAUAUACCAUUGACCCAUAUCAUGUACCAUUGACUCGUAACAAAAUAUAAUACUAAGGUGGGUCGGCCCACCACCACGUGCCAGCUUGUGCCGGCACCACUACAUAGCGGUGCCGGUAGAAUCGCCGCUUUACGUCUACCUCCCUCUCCCUGCUUUCUCUGCUCCCUCUCUCGAUCUCUCUUCCUCUGACUUCUCCUCACCAUCUCUUCUCUCUGGGCGGCGCCGAAUCCGACCGGCGCUGUCUCGACCGCCGCCGCUCCGCCGCGGGUCCUUCCGCGAACGAACUGCUCUGCCUGGGCAAGCUCCACAAGGUCGCGCCACUGCAGAAAGCAUCCGCAGGCUGUGGAGAUUCGCCCGGACCUCGUCCUCCGACGGCAGUACCAAAGCGGCGCCGGCGUUCAGUCCAGGAGCACAUGCAGGGACGAACAGCAGGGUCAAGCUUCAUCCGCUAGCCAACGUAAUCAAAAGACCGGUCUGAUGGAAACUCUAGACAAUUCACUUAUACACUUCAACACCCCGCCCCCCUCACGUGUGACGGGAAGACAAGUCAACACGUGUAAACUCAGAGGUAUGGUGGUUCAAGAGGCCAAUACAUGAACAGAGGGGGUAACAACAAUUUUUAAUAUAAAUUGUGAAAGCCAGGACUUGCCGUUGGGUGACGAGGGCAGACACAGGGCGUACAUAUGUCUAUUUGCCCUCCAAACGGACAAAAUGAGGACAUUUGAGGGCAAAAUUUGGAGGACCCCAUUGGAGAUGCUCUAAGAUCUUGUGGUGUUGCAGUUAUAAAAACCACUCCCUCCGUCCAACAAAAGAUGUCUUAAGUUUGUCAAAAUUUGAAUGUAUAUAGACAUGACUUAGUGUAUAGAUGCAUUCAAAUUUAGUCAAAUUUGGACAUCCUUUGUUGGACGGAGAAAGUAUUUUUGUAAGGCGGUUAUAAGAACUACUAGUACUACACAACCGCGUUUUGCUUUUCUUUUUCCUAAAAUUGAACUAGUACCGAUCAGCCUAUAUAUGCAUCUUCACGUUCUAUUAAUAUCUACACUGAUAACUUAUUGAGUGAAAGAAAAGGUUUUAGGAAUAAUAUAUGUAUAUGAAAAUUUAGAAUCACGUAUGAGUUGGACACAGUAACAGAAACUUGUAGUAUAGAAGUACUCUAUUUCCCUACUACCUUAGACAAUAUAAAUAUUGAGACCAUGUUACUCCCUAUUUAAUAUUCAGAUUUCUUUUUGUUUUGUUCUUGUUGCUGAAUGCAGUUCAAUGUAUUGCUCUAAUUUGAGUUGUCCCUAUAAUUAUUUUUACAAGUUUUGAAAAAAAGGUAGUGUAUGUUAAUUAAGAACCAAGAUUCAUACAAUCAUUCAUAACCACGCAGGACAGCACGGAAUUACUCAACACACCUCCAGUGCACACCUUACUGCAGUAGCUAGCUAGCUCAUGAGCCACAUAAUUGUUCUCUCUUUUAGUAAAAACGAAGCGAAUGCCAGGAUCAAAAGUAGUGACCUGUGGAAUGUCAACCACCAUUGAGCAUCUUGAAGACCGAUUAUCCGCCAAGGAGUAAAGAGCCUGAAUGAAGGAGACGCAAUCGCUUUCAACAAUCAAAGGUGCCGAGGAGUGUUGCCUGGCUAUCUUGAGGCCCUGAAGACAAGCCACACCCUCAGCCAUCUCUGCAUUAGGACAACGAGCAAUGGCGUCCCAAGCUGACAGAAUUACGGUGCCAUGUUCAUUGUCAAUCUUCAUGCGCUAGCCAACGCAACCAAACGAUCGAUCUGAUGAAAAUAAGCAAUCCACUUAUACGCUUCAACACCCCGCCUCACGUGUGACGGGGAAGAUAAGUUAACACAUGUAAACUCAGAAGUAUGGUGGCUCAAGAGGUCAACAUAUGGACGGAGAGGUAACAUCAAUUUUUAAUAUAAAUUGUGAAAGCCAUGACUUUAACAUGAGACAUUUGGCUUUGAUACCAUGUCAAACUUCAUGCGCUAGCCAAUGCAACCAAAAGAUCGAUCUGAUGGGAAGGGCUAGGCAAUCCACUUAUACACUUCAACAUUGAUCAAGGAGAACCGCACCCCAAGUAACAAUGUUCACGCCCGACGAAAAGCUAGCAUUCACGUUGAGUUUGAGCCAUCCCGUGUCUGGUGGUCUCCAGGCCGAAGGUGGACAAGGCUGGACAGUUGCAUGUUCCUCUGCUCGGGUUGUACUACACGAUUUUCCUUCAAGAUCAGGUUCCAGCAUCUUAUCCUUAAUUGUCAUCAUGGAGUUUGCAUAAUUGAAAAGAAAUUGUGCCGAAGGUUGGAUCGAUGCAUCUCCUUUCGCAAAGAUGAUAUCAUUCCGGAGAUGCACGCUCGCCACCAUAUGAAUAGGAGUUUGGUACGGGAGUCCUCAUUCACCUGAUCGAGUAACACCAAAACCCAAUCGCGCCCAAAGUAGCGAAUACCAGUUUCAGGUGGCAGCGGCAUGAAAUCCAUCUUCAGGCUCCAUGCCACACAUGGUGCAAGUCUCGUGGAUGUUUUUGAAGCGAUGGUGGUGAUUAGUUUGCACAGCAAGGGAAAUUGUGGCUAACUUCCAACCAAACACCUUGAUUUUGGGUGGAACCUGAGGCUGUGUCUUCCGUCAGACCUUGUGCUAUUACCGGUGUUAGCAAGCUGCAGCUUGAGGUUGAAAGGGUUCAAAGCAAGCCUGUAAGCACUGCGUACAUUAAAAACUCCAGAUUUUUCAUGAUGCCAAGCGAUGAAGUCAUCCAUUUGUUGUUCAGGGAUACGGGUCUUAAGAAUUUCCUCUGUAUCAAAAUCAUGGAACAUGUUGCGGAUGACCUGCUCAUUCCAAACUCGGUUGUCCUGAUCAAUAAGACCUGCCACAUGCCGGAGUCUCGACUGACUUGCUCUGCUAGGGACUUGCAGUGCCACGGGGAAUCCAGUUGUCCCGCCAAAUUUGAACCCUAUUGCCCUUACCAAUCCUCAAAAUCAGUCCCUUCUUAAGCAACUCAAGCCCAUGCAUGAUACCCUGCCAGCAGACCGAAGUGUUCUUAAUAAACACCGUAUCGGCGAGCUCUCCGUUGGGAAAAUAUUUCGCUUUGAGAAGGCAGGUGUAGAGGGAGUCCGGAACCGUCAGAGGUCUCUGAAACCAAUGCUGCCAUGCAACUUAGGUUUUAUCAUUUUCUCCCAGCCCAGCCAGUGAACCUUCUUCUGAUUAGUUUCGUCUCCCCACCAGAAAUCACGAGACGAAUGUGAGAUGUCAACAGAGGUUAGGAGAGAACUUAAAGAUACUCAUUCCAUAGGUCGGCAUUGCCUGAAUGACAGACUUGAUAAGAACCUCCUUACCUCACUGGAUAAAUAUUUUUCACACCAAUCUGAACAACGCUUAGUAAUUUUAUCUUUGAUGGACUGAAACUUUUUGUCUUUCAUGCGACCCUCGGGAACUGGAAGGCUCAAAUAUUUCUCUUCAAAACUUGGCGAAUGUACCACCAAAAUAUUCAUCACCACAUUGGUGUUAUGCAGGCUGCACUUGUUACCCAUCAAGAUUGUGCAUUUAUUUGGACUGAGCAUCUGACCUGCCCCUUCCUCAUAACAAUUCAGCAAGUGUUUGAUCGUCUGAGCCAGGUCAGCAUUGGCUUUAAAGAAAAUGAGGCUGUCAUCGGUGAAAAGAAGAUGAGAAAUACCCAGGCUUCGGCAAAUGUGGAGCUUCUAGAUGCGUCCGUUGUUGAUUUCAUUCUGUAAAAGGAGCAAAAGACCGUCUGCCAUGAACAAAAAGAGAUAAGGCGAUAGUGGGUCUCCUUGUCACAGACCUCUGGUGGGUUGGAAGGCCUACAGCAGAUCCCCAUUCAACCACACACGGUAUUUAACAGUCUUGACACAUCACGUAAUCCUAAUUAAUCCAAAUCGGGGGAAAACCUAAACUGCUCAUUGCUUGUUCGGGGAAGGACCAAUCAACACGAUCAUACGCCUUGGCGAGAUCAAGCUUAUAAGCAAAAAACUGACCUCGAGCUCUUCUGGAUCAUGUGUAGGCACGCAAAGGCAAUGAGGCCACCUGAAUGCCUGGUACAUGCUAGAUAUGCUACUAACAGCUGCCAACCCGAACUGAUGAAUCAAUGAUCUCAUUGUUGGGUGUUGACAACGUUGUUAACACAUAGCUAAUUGUUAACACAUGCAAACUUCUUCUGGGUGCUACUUGUUGCUCCUUAGAGAUUUGUGAAUGCUAUUUUUUGAAUGGUAUAAAAAAUGCUCUUAGGUGCAAGCUUCCGCUACUGCUUGCAAUAUACACUACAAGGAAAAAAAAAUAAACAUAGCAUUAGCCACGAACUAUUGGUAACCAAGCUGUUUGGUAGCUAUAUGUAUAACUAUCACAACCAAAGUACUGGUAUGUACAUUGGUUACUAUACAUACGUUGUUGGUAGCCACGGAUAUGUCCUUUGGUGACAAUAAUGGCAAAAUUGGUCGUUAGAUAUUCACUAGGGACUAGAGUGUAGCGACCAAGAAAGGACCAAGUAGUGUCACUAACAAUAGAUCACAUAUUUAUGUUAACGAACUUAACAAGUGGUCGCGAGUAUUUAAAGAACCGAGCCGAACCAUGCUUUUAGAUCAUUAUCGAUAAUGAGCUUAAUGAUCUGCUCCUAGAAUGAUCCAAGCUUAACAAACCGAGUUGUUAACAAAACGAAAGGCUCAUUAGGUAGCCCUAAUUACACUAUCAUUGCCAGGAAUGGGUGAUGUGUGGUAGUAUCCAGGAAUGGGUGAUGUGUGGGACUGCCAGACUUAACACAAGGAAUUAAAUGUGCAAUAUUUACUUCUCUGUUUUUUAUGUCUAUAUAUUUAAGUUUAUUUCUUCUUAAAUGCACAAUAUUUACACAAUUAAAUGCACGACCUUAAAUAUAUAGGCAUAAAAAACAAAGGAGUAGAUAUUGUGCAUUUAAGAUAAAAUAUAACAUAUAUAUAUAUAUAUAUAUUCUUAAAUGCACAAUAUCUACUCCUUUGUUUUUUUUAUGUCUAUAUAUAUUUAAGGUUGUGCAUUUUGAAAAAAAAAUAUUUUUCUUAAAUGCACAAUAUUUACUUCUUUGUUUUUUAUGUCUACAUAUUUAAGGAUGUCUUAACUCAAAAUUUAUCAACUUUGAUAUAGUUUGUAGAAAAAAUCAACAUCAUUAAUGCAAAAUAUAUGCAAUAUGAAAAUAUGUUUAAUAGUAAUUGUAAUGGAAUAAAUGCAUACAACGUGGUAGUGUACUCCUGCCGGAUAACCUUAGCUACCAAGCAAACGCAAACUCUGUCUCCUCGGCCCUAUAAAUGGGGCGUGCAAUCCAGCGGCAGCCUCAGCAAAACACAAGGAUAUUUGCUUCAGAGAGAGAGAGACUCAAACUCUGAGUAAGUGAAGCACCUGAUAGAGAAAGAGAUAGAGAGAGGGAGAGAGAGUUUUGAGACCGGCUGAUCGAAAUGGCGAGGCAAGGCGUUUUCUCCAUGCUUGCUAUGGCAUUGCUCCUCGGAGCCUUGGUCUCCAUCCCAAAAGGUAAUCCACUCUC
rnacentral:lncRNA from 1 species